rnacentral:lncRNA from 1 species
UUCUUUUAAUAAAAAGGGUAAACUUUAAAUUUUAUUUCUGUGGUUUCGUGCUUUCUCACUUUAGUACUCUAUAAUUUAAAGUAUAUCACUUUAGUACCAUAUGAUUUUAUUUUUUUUCUUUCCGUCAGUUCCUUCGUUAACUUUUCAUUAAGUCAUAUAUAGAAAACUUCAUAAACUCAAUCUAUGGUUUAUCGAAUAUUCACUUUAGUAUUAUAUAGUUCACGGAGCUUUCGCUUUAGUACCCUAUGAUUUUAACUUUAUUACUGAUUUUAUGAAAAAAAAAAUUAACAGAAGAGAUAACAGAUAGAGAAAAACGAAACCAAAGAAUACUAAAGUGAUACAUUUUAAACCAUAGGGGUACUAACUGAAAAAGUGUGAAACCAUGAAGGUGAUAUUUGAAGUUUUUUCUAGUAAAAACUAGUAAAAGUAAAUGGAUGUAGAUCAUACACUUAAUAUAGGUGUAUGCAGUAUUAAAUUUGUCCAUACUGUAGUGUAGUGGAUUAGGGAUGUCAACGAGCCGAACACGAGCGAGCGAAUACGAGCAAGCUGAGGUCGGCUCAUUUAUGAAAUAAUAAAAAUUUGGCUUUAUAUUUAAAUUGGGCUAAAAAUCAAAUAAUAAAAAUUUAUAUAUAUAUAUAUAUAUAUGUAUGUGUGUGCUGUUAUGCCGAACAUAAGUUGGCUCACGAACAGCAAGCUGGGUUGCCACCCCUAUAGUGGAUUAGACCACACCCUUUAACACAACAUGUGGGGACUUUUUGCACCGCGUCAAGAUCACGUUAAGUGGUCACGAGAAGUCUCAACUUUACUACUACGUACAAUUCGAAGAAUCAAAUGCCACCAUUUUUAUACCCAAGUCAAAGUCUCAAAUCUAGUAGCAACUAGCAACACGCGAGCAACACGAGCGCGCCACACACUAAUAAGAAAAUUAAAAAAGUAAUGCUUAUUUAUCCUAUUUAAUAAAAAAUAAAUACUAAUGUAUUUUUUAUAAAAAAAAAAUAAUAUCUCACAAAAAAUAUCUCCUGUUAAUUUUCCAUCACUUAUAUCCCUUAAAAUCUUAUUUUUUGAGAUCACUGGCAAUUACACAAUAAUAAACAAAAAGUUGAUAGAUCUAUAUAUAAUCCACAUUGCAUUAUAAUUCUACAACAAUCUCAAUUUAAUAACUAUUUUUUUUUCACUUCUUUUAUAACUUUUUUUUAAUUUACUAAAAGUCAAAAGAAUUUAGUAAGUUUGAAAUUAAGAUAGAUGCUUGGUAAAUAAAGGACACCAAAAAAAAAAAAAAAAAAAAAACUUGCAAAAUAUCAUCACUAUAGUUGUCACACUUUCUCAUUUUAGUACCAUAUAGUUAAAAUGUAUCACUUUCGUACUCCUUGGUUUUAUUUUUCUCUUCUUAUUAUUUCAUCCACUAAACUUUUUUUCGUUAAAUCAUGACAAAGUUAAAACUAAAGGGUUAUUAAAGUAAUACUCGAUAAAGCUAACUGGGGUAUUUGAAAUUUUUUGUAUAUAAUUUAACGAAAUCCUAACGGAGAACUGACGAAAAGAGAGAAUAAAAUCAAAGGUAUAUUGAUAUCACUUUAAACCACAAAAUAUAAAAGUGAGAAAGUCGAAACAACCAUAAAUGUAUUUGAAGUUUGUAUGUUUUCCGAAUUUCCUGAUGUUUGACCUCCUCAGGAAAGUGUGUCGAAGUGGAAAUCGCUGCUGUCGUGACCUCGAAGUUAUAGCGCCCAGCCGACGGGUCAAGCGAUUGACCGAAUGAGGGAUCAAAUCGGCACGAGGUCGCGAAAACCUCCUUAGUACAUUUGCUUCGCAAACGACGAGCCGAAUGCAGGUGAGGCCUAAUACUCAAGGCUGAGAGAUGAAACGAAGUAGUCAGGACAAAACAAGAGUCUGGUUGCCUGAAGUAGCGGAAAACGAGCUCUCUGUAUUAUAUAAGAGAGGGAGUGAUGCCCGGGCAGGGCAGAUAGACUCCGAAGUGUUACAAGGAUGAUGCCGAAGACCAGACAGACUCCAAACGUUUAUAAUAAGUGAUGCCCGGAAGGCAGACAGACUUUCAAAAGAGGCUGAAAGUUACAAGCAUACCACUCUAGGGAAAAGCGAGGAGAAAAAUAAACAAUAAAGGUGGUCUCUUGUGCGCAGGGGCGAAGACCCCUUUUCAAGGUAGCUACAGGCAUUAUUUAUUAUUUUUCCCAUUGUGUAUGUAGUCGCGGCCACGUCGGGCCAUCUUCUCCGGAUCUCGAAGGACCACGUUCGAGCCGAUUGGAACCUGCCAUUAGGAAACCGCCUCAUAACCAUUGGCAGUUGUCACAUUUUUGAACAAACGCGGGACAUCAUCAUCUCUGGCGGCACUUUGUCCGUCGCUCCCGACCAGCGCUUUGACUCAGUGUGCCAAGUGUCUCGACCGAUCUGGUUCAAACAAUGCCCGUCGGCAGCUUCGAAGCGGGGCAUUCGGUGAGCUGGCGGCGAUAUUCACUUUCUUAAUUGCCGAAAGUCAAACUUGAUCCGAGGCAUGUUUCUCGUUCCCAAUCAAUUCAACAUCUUUCUGACGAGAUCUGCAAGUCGAUUCGUGACAUCAAUCUUUCGUACAGUUUUAACCUGUGCGUUGAUUCUUUUCUCCACAGGCUUGAUCACAUCAGUUUUGUCUCAUACGCUGCAUUAAUUAAGGUUCAUCUCUAAUCUACUGCCGUCUAUUCAUCAUUAUAGCCCAACUUCGGCGACUCGUAAUUCGACGCAAAUAGUUCGAUAACGACGCCUUUUCUUCUUCAUCAAGCUUCCUCAUUUUGUCUCUUCAAUCUCUAUUCUUUUCUAUCGAAUUUCUCGCUCCUUUCUCUUCUUUUGAAUCAAUGUCUCUGGUUCCUCCUCUUCCAUUACUCAUAUAUCCUCUUGACUAUUCUUUACUAAACCUUCGUUGGAUGUUAGAUCCUUCUAGUGUUAGUAUUUAAGGACAUUCUUUUUGAACAAUACCAUCCCUACUGACUCGCCCUUUCUCUGAUGAGGGAUUUUCCUCUAACAAAAAGUUAUUCAUCUUCAUUCUUGGUACCUCGUCCAGCUUCGACAGGAAGGUCCAGGACUUGCCAAGGUGUCUCUGAAGCGGAAUUUGGCCUGAUUACGAUAAGAGUAGAUCUGUUUACGCGCGCCUCCUGGCGAGGAAUCGGCAUUAUGAGCGAUUCAAUUAUGCUCGGCACCUCUAUAGGCCGAUAAUCUUCUUCUGGCUGCCGCUCUUGUUUCCAAUGGUCCCCUAUUUCAAUAACUAUUUCUUUUCAAAAGAGGACCUCUAAACCCUACUCUUUUUGAUGUAGCCGCCAUUGUGCCGCUUACGCCCUCAUGGCGUCACCCUUUCUAAUGGACUACAAUCCUGGAUGAGUGUGCUCUAAUUUGACACCCUUGAUCUACAUGAUUUGGCUUACUCCAAAUUCCUUCCGAAAAUUAUUCUGCAGGUGAAUCCCCUGCUCCAGUCGCCAGACAGGAACAAUACGGCGUUCUCUAUACUGGUUGUGCAUAAUCUUUUCUGCACCGUUCGCAAAAAUCAAUCGAGAUUUUGUUCAGAUCGGCCAUCGGUUUUCCUAAUGGCGAUACAGUUGGACCUUAGGCGCAUAUUUCCUUGCUUCGUUACAGAGAAAUUUUUUAUACAUUAAAGUCACUACCUUCAGGUGAUGGCAUCGCAUUUGGCUCUCGGUGUGGCGUUUUUGGUUUUUGCAAAUGUUUCUUCAAUUUUAUAUCCAGCUUUACUGUCAAUCCCUUUCAAUCCUAUUUCACUGCCCAGUUUGAUUCUUUAUGGGCUACUCUCAGGCUGUCCACAGCACUGAUGACGCUCGGUGGUCAAACCUUCUGAAUUUUCUGACUUAUUUUAAGGCUUUUUAUGAGCCAUCAUCUGAUUCAGCUAUUUCUUGGGCUCCUUUUUGUUGAUCGUACUCACCGGACCCUCUUUGUUCCUGGCUCGAUUUGAGCCCUUCAAAAGGCGAACUUAUCUUUCUCGUGCUGGUGAACAUUCAAGAUGAUAUGGUAUCUCUAUUAGUCCCGAAGCCUUCAUGUUGGAGGUUAAUCGGCGUUCAAAGUUACUACCGAGGCACUGAGUUUACUCUCGCUCAGUAUGUAGCGCGCAGUUUUGGACUCAUUCAACCGGAUCCCAGCUCCUUCUAAUUUUUUACAGGCCAACACGGCCGAUUCAAUACGUCUCACAUCACAAACAGCAUAUAUUGAAAGCUGACAAGCUUUCGGCCAUGGAAAUCGUCUCAGGCGCUUCUUCAGCUAGCAAGCUUUCGUCCCGGAACAUACAGAGUACCUGUUCCAGCUAUGUACCACAAUGGGAUUCAGGUUUACUAACAAGCUUCUUUGUCUUUCUUUGCUCGGAGCAUUCCGCCAAAAACCAUCCAUCAACUGGUUCUGGUCCUCUGAUGCUUGUUUAUAAAAUUUUCGUCCAAUAUGGCUGUAUAUAUUUACGUAUUUUACUAUAUAUAAUAUAUAUUUUUUAUAUACAGCCACUACUCCCGGCAGAGAUUUCUCAACCGAGACUGAGUCUCCCACCGAAAAAAUUCUCUGAUACUCCACGUAUUUUCCUCGGCCGUAAUCUAUCAUUCUCUUAUUCGUCAUGGUACGUAGUCAAUCCCUGCUUCUCCAUCGUCCUAGGUCUCCGACAAGAAACCGAUUUGAAGCUGUUAAAGUCACUCCUACCACCAUCCUCAAAACGAUCGCUCGAAGUCUGCGCAAAAAGAAAAUUUCAACAACCGAAUGCACAUUUCGCUGAAAUCACUAAAGACAGAGCGAAGAUCAUUCCUUCGCUGACUUCUCCAACGCAAAAACUAUAUACACCGUUCUUCGGCUACUGGACAAUCCCCCAGUCUUAUCUGAACCCAAUUGAUGUUUGGGGUAAGCCGAAAUAAUUAGUUCACACAUUCUAUUUAUUUAUAGUUUUCUUUUACUACAGUCUUUCCCCUGAGCAAGCCUUCUUGCUUAUUACUCGAAGAUGCAGAAUCGGAAAGAACCACUUCGUCGUGAAUUCCCGAUUGAGAAGAAAGGAGCGGGAUGGAAAAAACAAAAAGAUCUAUAAAAACGGCGAGCGCCCGACGCCUUUGACGGAGUGAUGGCAUCGUCACCUCUUUUCAGUCUCCUAACAAUCGAUAACAGAGGUGAACGACAACCAGAUACUCUUGAGCGAACCUUUGAGGACAAAGUCAAUACUCCUCCCCAUUCGACUCAGGGAGCUUCUCCUCUAUUCAACAUGAAUGAUCGCUUUAUUUGCAAUUCUUCAUUCUUUUUUGACUUCAAGCCCAUGCUCCAAUGAGUGGUGAGAUUCUUCUAACUGUGACCCAUUUCAUCAGAAUACCCAGAAUAGAGCUGAACGAUGAAUGUCUUAAAAUAUUUGGCAUCGGAAUUCCAAAUUUAGGCUCAACUCCUGAAAGCAGUCUGAUGCGCUCUAUGUCCUUCUUACUCAUAUUAGCCGAUCGAGUCAAUAUUUCUCCUCGGUAUUCAAAUAGAUUUUGUGUCAACCAUUGAUCACUCCAACUUUCAUCUUUUUUGGCUUCGCAGCUAAUCUUUAGGUGCCGAACAUUGUAACUUAGUCAAAUUUUAAUCGCGUUGAUUUGAUUUUCAAGAAAAACAUACCUCGACUUAUAGCACUCCACAUACUGAGGUACAUCGAGAGGAUAAAGAAUAGCUGAUCAGGAAUCGCUGCUGGGCAAACAGCGAAUUCUUCCAUUAACAGGAAGAAUUGUGCGGUAACCGAGUUCCACUCUUAGCGCUCCCUAUACCCAAAAGUCGACUUCAAUUAAAAGAUCCAAUUAGAUCUAAAAAGGAGGAAGGAGGAUAUAAGCUUAAGAAGAACCUUUCCCCCAACUUUACACAGUGCAUCCUCUGAUGAAGCGCCCGAAGGAAAGCUGCGAAACUGCCCAAGCAAUCUUUUAUAGCCAAUGGACCUCAGCGCUUAUAGAGACUUAUUAUCUGAUUCGGCUGUAUAUUUUAAUCUUGAUUUUAUUACUUCGCCACAUGGCAUGGAUAAUAUCCCUCUUUAACAUAACUUACCGUUCGAUUGGUUUUUCAUAUCCUUGACUGCGACUGCAUACGGCUAGGAUGUCCCGGUGUCGGUGGGCUCGUCGCACAUUUUGUUGAAUAACAGCAUUUCCUCUUUGUAACUCGAACUAACCUGAAAUGGUCCUUCCAAUUUUAGGAACGCACUUUCCAUACACGUCGGUCUUUACUGACCGAUCGGAAAAACCAGUCGCAAGUACCAAUCACCAAUGGCAAAUGUCUUUGAUCGAACUUUCUUAUUUAUACGGCAAUUACGCACGUCGGCUGCUGGUAACGCUUGCAUAUUAUCUAAAGCUAUCAACGAUAUCUGUCAGUUCUUCCGUUUUAUCUUUCAUCAACUAUUAUAUUCAUCAGCCGAAGAUUUUUUUGUUUCUCCUAUCCUUAAAGAAGGGAACUGUUAUUUCCGGCGUGGAAAUUACGGCCUCAUGGCCGUAGACUAAUUGGAAUUGGUGUCAUCCUGUUGCCGUUUUACCUGAGGUUCGGCGAUGACCAUAAUUACUUCGGAAAGCCUUUCUCGUUCCAUUUUCUUGGAUUUUUCCAAUAUGUCGUUUCAUGAGAUUAAACGACUAUCUUAUUGUGCUGACUGCUACUUGCCCAUUCGGCUUGGCAUAAAUAAGGGAGGCACGAAUGGAGAUAGCUUUAUCUUUGAGAUUCAAUAACCGAAACGACAUUGUCUCCUGUGAACAUUCGUCCUUGGACGGUAUUGUAAUGGUCUCGCGGGAUCCCAAACGCGAUGAAUUAUAUGAUCUUCAACAAAUCAAAAUUUGCGCUUUGUGAUAACCAACCGAGGUGGGUUUGGCUUCUAACCCACUUAGUAAAGUAAUCGUGGGCUACUAUUGAAAUUUGUCGACCAACAGAUGAAGGAUUCGGCUCUGGAUUUUCCAACUAACAUCAAUGCUGCCCAUCCUCAAAAAGGCCAUGGUUUCAAUUAUUUCCGUACAUCCAGAGGCAGGAACAACCUCUGGAUGGCCAUGAAAAUUGAACAUUUUGGCACCUUUGCAAUACUCUAUACAUCUUGGUGGCAUAGUUGGCCAAUAAUAUUCCUACGGUGCGAAUGGUCCACUGUAACUUUUUUCCUGCAUGUGGGUUACAUAUUCCGUUCCAUGUGUUUCCCCUAUUACCAAUAGAGCUUUCUCUGGCCCUAAAACAUUUCAUAACAUAACUUCUUCGGCUGUUCUUCUUGAUAUAUACCGUUAAUAAGCGAGGCGAGAGCCCUUCGUUCUGAAUAUUAAACAUCAACCCAUUGUAUUGGGAUCCUCCAAAUAUUUAAUUAAUGAUUUUCUCCAGUCUAUUUUUAUUCUACAGGAGCUGAUGAUCGGCUUUCGUAUAUGAACCGAAGUAGGUACGCAGUCUGUGUGUAUUAUUAGUCCGACUCUGAUUUCGGUGUCUACCUGACCCUGAAGCCCGAUUGGGCCAAUUACGUUUGCCCUAUGUCAUUUCUUGUCUUUUCAAAUGUUCAAUUCGCUUCUCCGAAAUUGGCAUAACUUCUAAUGUUCUUUCUCAGAUAAUUUGGCAAAUUUGGUAAUUUUCACAUCGUAUUUUCACUUUAACGGACUGCUUGAUCACUAACAUGUGAGUUCACCGAUGCUUUGUUGACUUAACUUUAAUUCAAUUUGCAAUAUUUUCAGCCGAUUAUCAAGGCCUCAAUAUUACGGCUUGGGUUGUUGGAACAGCCGAAAUCCAAUUUAACAUGGCAAAUUCGACACACUAUACCUCUCAGGUGACAUGUACUACAUAUCUUAUCCUGGCAGAAUUCAUUUGUUUUGGAACCGUCAAAGUAUAAUACCCAAGUUGACAAGCCGAUUCUACAUUGGUAUCGGCUCCUCUAUUUCUACACAUGGUAGUCAGCUCAGAAAAUCCGCUGAUAGCCCCUGGCCUUAUAUAGCUUUAGCAGGAACAUUUAGACAGAACUCGGAUAAAGCCAAUACUACCCUUCCCAAUACGUCUCCGCAGCACUGCUUGGAUAACAUAUAUUUUUAUCAAAUCGGUCUACAUAUCACCGAUACUCUCAAUUGACAAAAAUAAUAAUAUCGAGAUUUUGUGCAUGCAUAUAUAAAGCUAAACAAUAAUUUUUCUUAUAGGCCGCCAGGUACACGUUUACUCUGUGAUCUAAGGCAAACGUCGGCUAAAUAAUAAAUUAGCUUGCUCGCUUUCUUUGCUCGUCAUUUCUGAGCCAACAAAAACAUCCUCUAAAUUUCGAUGCUACCAGCCGAUAUAUAUAGCUUUCAAUCGGCUGAUUCGGUUUGGAGGUACCAAUAGCCGGAGGUUUUUGAUAAAUCUCUUUUUAUACUUUCAGAAAUGCCUCGGGCUGCUGUUGCCUCUGCCCAAACAAUUUCUUCCUUAUCUUUGCAGCCGAAGUAAUGGCGCGAAAGGUCAACAAAAACGCCCUGGAAUUCUCCGCUAAAUUGGAUAUAAAACCUCGAAGAUAGUUUAUCUUUCCCCGGAACAAACUCUGCAAUCCUUUUUUGGGCCAUUUGGGUGUGAUAACUCUCACUAUUGCUUUUGCUUUAUUUUUAUCAAUUUCAAUUCCUUUCCUUAAUGCACACCAAAAAUCCUACGAAAAUUGUUCCUUUUGCCGGAAACCACCCCAAUGCGCAUUUCGAAAGGAUUCAUUUUUUAGAAAUUAUAUUUUCGUCCAAUUCUCUCAAAAGCGAGUUUUAAAGUCGAUCCAGAUGUUCGCUUGCGACUCUGACUUGCAUAGACAUAUCAUCAAUAUAGACCUUCCAACAUCUUGCCUGAUUAAAUUCGUGAAAACAUAAAAUUCAUCGGCUUCCUUUGUAAGGUACUCCCAGCAUUUUUUAAGGCGGCGAACGGCAUAAACAACCGCCGAUUCAAAAGUUCCCAGAUUGAAGCGCCGGGGCGCAUCUAAAAGCCAGUUUUAGCCACGGUCUUCCUCAGCAAUAAUAAUAUUUCGAUUAUAACCAGCAUGUCCACCAUAAAGGACAAUAAUUCAUUACCGCAGCCACCGAAUCUAACUAACAAAUAUCGGCUAUCAGGCAAUUGAAUAGUUCAUCUUUACCCGGUGUAGCUAAAAUUUAAGUUCCAAAGUCAUACAGAACUCUGAGUUUACCAUUCUUUUUACGUACUGGAACUAUAUUAGACACCCAAUCAACGAUACACGGGCCGCUCUAACUAAAUUCCCGCCUUUAAAAACGAUUUUCAAUAUUAUUUUAAUCUGAAGUACAAUACUCGGCUCUAUACCUACGACCGGUUGUUUAAAAGGCUUAAACCCUUCUUUGAUAGGCCAGCCGAUGCUGUCUACACUACAAUUUCUCGCUCAACCCUGGCAAUUUCUUGAUAGCCUCAAGCGAAACGAAUCUUUGUAUUCUCGCAAAGUUCUUCUUCAUUCUUCUUGUUGGCUUGAACCGACCAGCUUGGAACUUAUGAGACGUUGGCGUGUUGUCUUCAUGAGACCCAUAAGGUGUUACCUCUACAACUAAGUCCUGGGUCUCCAACUUUUUCUCGGUCGGUUUUUAAUGGCGAUUCUCAUAAUUCUCCUUCGCUGGUUGCCAAUUCACCUCAUAUGAUUCUGGUCUUUUUGGCUGAUUCCGCUUGAGCUUCCUUCCCGUUUUUUGAAACGCGAAGUCAUUUUUAUGAUCUUCUCCGGCCUUACUAGCGACUUCCAAUCGUGCAAACCAUGCGCGCUUGAGAGCCGAGUUACCUCAUAGCCGAUCUUGUUGAAUGCUCAUCUUGCUGAGGCUUAUGCCAAGCCUCUUAUCCUGAUUCUGUGGGAUCAUUUAACAUCUGGUGCUUUCAAACGGCCAGCCAUAAGUAUUGAUAUCCUUUAGAACAGAACUAGUUGAAUUCCCUCUCCGUACUCCACAAGAAAAUCUGGUCUGGAUGCAGCAUCGCCCAGUUGUGAUGUGCGAUGUCUUCCAUACAGUUAACCAUCUAAUCAUUUGAAGGCCCGUCCUCGCCCGGACUUCUUCUACCUUUCUCCAUCCACUGGAACAAUUUCCGCAUGGAGUGUAGAGGGCACAAGCACUCAUUCCGCAUGGAUCCAGUCACGCCCCUGCAGUAGUUGUAGUGACUAUCUGCAUCUACCAAGCAAAAAAUGCAGUUUUUAAAGUUUUCGAACCUACCGUACAGUUCGGUGGUUAAGCACUCCUCGGCUUGUUGACCAUAUUCCUUGAAAUCGGUCAUGAUCGAAUCAGUUAGGCUUCAAUUCGUCUUCGUUCUUUGCCUAACUUCUUAAAGAGAAGAGUAGGCAUUACGUUAACCAUGGCACCGCCGUCCACUCAUCAACCUCGGCCUACCGCCGACCUUCCAUUCAAAGCUUUUAUAAAAAGAGUCUUAUAAACCUCAUCUGGCAAUGGCCCGAAGGUUCCUCAAAGAACCACUCGGCAUCGGGCCCGAUAGAACAUCUUCUAAUUGAACUGACUACUCUAAGCCCAUCUUCCCUCUCGACUGCUUUAUAUUUUCAUACUCGAUAAACUCUGCUUUAAAGAUUGGAGGCAAGAGCAUAACACCAUGUUUACCUCAGUCCCGGUGAUCUUCGCUGAUUUUCCUUUGUCCUUUGUUUCUUCUCCUUCCGAACUCCUUGGCUGUUUCAGCAGAAGUCACUUUCCAUACCGGGACUACCCUUUCUUUUCGGAGGCCACUCUCUCUUUUGAAAUCAUAGUCUCGAGGAAGCUAUUUUUUCUUCCCAACUCCCUCCUGAUCAUCUUAUCUUCUGAUUCGGCCUCGUUGAGCGCUCUAGCUUCUUGACUUCAACUGGGGAGCUAAUGAAUGAAACCGCGCCCGCGCUGCGCUCCGUGAUCAUUCUUUAAUGGAUGAAAAGCGGUGUGAUUGCUCAUCAGGCGCGUCUCAAAACCAUUAGAAGGCCCUUAUCGCCUUUCGCCCGUCCCUCAUGACAUCGUUGCUUGCUUCGGCUGUAUUCUGCUGCUGCCGACGGUUGUCUGAGUUUUUGUCAAUACAUCCUGGCCACACCGCCUAUCUGGCCGGAGUGUUUAACUUCAACGUCGGCCCAUUCAUCUCUACAUGGCACAUCGCGGUACUUCACCGUUCUUAAAUGCAUUUUUCAAAAUUUCUUCUUCUUUCCCUGGCGCACGUUCGACUGGGGCCGGACGGUCUCGGCCAAGGUUGAAUGCCGAGCUCAUUGCUAACGGCUUCAGACCGAUGAAUUCCUAUUCCCCCUCGGUCAUUCCUGUUCAAACUGUCUGGUCUCGGCCUAGCUUGUUGUUGCCAAUGUGGCCGAUACCCAGGGAAUCUUUGUUUGGAGCCGAAAGGUCUGUCCUGGAAGUCCCAUCGGCCAUGACGUUCUCCACGCCUAUUGUUGUAGUAAUCGUGCAGAAUUUUCUGCAUCAUGAUGUCUUUCUUGUGUUGAACCGAAUCUAUUUCCGGUUCGGUGUCGUUAGAGGCUGCAUCCGAGCCUUCUUCUUCUAGGUCUUCACCAUCGGGAAUAUUAUCCCAAUCUUCGGAGAAUGCCAUCAAUUCGUUCCAUUCGUUUCCCCUUUUCUUGGCAUUCACGAUUGCUUCCCAGUCUUUUUUCGUCAUUUCGGCCUUGCACCUAAUGCAUAGCCGAAGGUGUUUCUUGGCAUGGGCCACGUUGUCAGCGGUCUCUUUGUCUAAAACUUCCUUUCCUUUGAUAUUCACCAUAUUGACCUGAAAUGGAAAUGAAAUUUUGUUAAUUAUUUGAUUUUUAUUUUCUUGGUCGGCCAAUAUGAGCCGACCUUCUUCUAUUUCCUCUUGAAUCUGCCUUUUUGCAGCCGCUUUCCCUUUUCCUUUCAUAUUCACGGUGUUGAUCUGUGAUGGAAAAGGAUUCUUAUCAAUUUUCAUAUCUUUGUUUUCCUGGUCGGCAAAAAUUAGCCGACCCUCAUUUAUCUCUUUUUGAAUUUGUCUCUUAAAGGCAGUGCAUUCACUAGUUUUAUGGCUCCAUGAAUGGUGCCAUUUGCAGUAUCUUCUACGUUUCAACUCCUCAACAGGAGGUAUGGUUUGACCUUCCUGUAAUUUAAUUCGUCCAUCUUUUAACAACCGAUCAAAAAUAAAAUCGGUUUUAGAUAUAUCAAAAGAAUAACUAAACGCAGACACAUGUGCUUUUGCCUCUCUUGACUUUGCAGGUUUUAGCAAAGCACAUUUGUAUGGUUGAUUAUUCUUCACCAUCUCAGCAGCACAUAUUUCGGCUUCGUCAGCCGAAUUUUCUGCCUCUUCAGAUGAAUUCGGCUCCUCAUGAGCCGAGGAUUCUUCAAAGAAAGAAAUAUUUUUUUCUUUCCCUUUGUUCCAAUCUUUAUUUCGGCUCCACCUAGGCCGAUCUUCAUUUUUUCCUUUUCGAAAUUGCUCGUAUUGAGCAACUCGAACUCCCAAAUCAAAAAGAUUUGGAAAAAACUUAUCUUCAAAAUAAUCCUUAAUCUUAAAAUGCAUGCCAUUAAAUGCCAUUCUGGCAAAUUCUGAUUCCGGCAUCCUCACAAAACAUCGGCUUCGAGCCGUUUUGAAUCGGUUUAAAUACUCAUCAACUGAUUCUCCCAUUUUUUGUCUAAAUUGAGCCAAGUCUGCAACUGACAACUCAGGCUCAGUUCUAUAAAAUUGCUCAUGAAACUUACCUUCUAAUUCGUCCCAGUCUCGGACGGAAUUAGCAGGUAAACUCGUAUACCAGGUAAAAGCUGUCUUGGUUAAUGAAGUAUUAAAUAAUCUUAAUUUCAAAAAAGGAUCUGCCGCAGCUUCGCGACAUUGGGCUGUAAAUCGGGCGACAUGUUCGACCGUAUUUUCGGUCUCGUCUCCAGAAAAUUUGUCAAAUUUCGGCAUCUUCCAAUUUGCCGGAUAUGGAUGUUCCACAUCUAUAUUAACAGGAUAUGGUGAUCUGAAUACAGGCCGCAUUGCCGGCCUUGUGCCUACUCCGAAAGUGUUUCGGAUUGCUUCUUCUAUUUGCGCGUAUAUUUCAUUAUUAAUACCCGGCAAGGGGGCCUGCGCUGGUACUGGGUUCAAUGGUUGUUGAAUCCCAAUAUUUUGCCCUAAGGGAUUAACCCCUUGUGCAUUCGGGAGAUGCCCCCUAGCCUCUACAUUGUGAGGUUGGUAGGCUGCCAUCGGAGGGGGUGGAAGUAAACCCCAAGCCAUUUCAGGCUGUUGACCGGCAUUACCGACAGCCAGUCUAUAAAACGCUUGAUACUGUACCCCCUGGUAUUGAGGCUGGCCACCCACCGGUGUUACCGGAUUCUGUAACACUGGUGUUACCACAGGCACUUGAAGGCCUGCUAUCGGCUGGUCGUUUCGAGUUAACAACUGCCCUAUUCGGGCUAUAUUUUCGUUAGAGGCCGUGAUUGCGGCCAAAACGGCGUCCAGCCGUGCGGUACUUGCAUGACUAUUUUGGUCCAAAGUCUGUAGGACCCUAGUCAUUUGGCCAAGUGCUUGGGUCAAGCUAGGCUCUUGUUGGCCGAAUUGACCGCUAGUUUCACCUUCUGUCGGUAAAACUGCUUGGCGCUCCACAACAUUCUCCGAAUUACUGGGCUGUUCACUCCCAGGAUUUCUGGGAAUGACCCUAUUACGGAGAUUCAUGGUGUUGUCGUCAGCCAUAAUCAAAUUCAAAUUUACCUCGAAUAUGCGUCCCACCGGGCGUGCCAAAAAAUUAUUGUUUUCCGAAUUUCCUGAUGUUUUGACCCUCCUCGGGAAGUGUGUCGAAGUGGAAAUCGGCUGCUGAUCGUGACCCUCGAAGUUUGCGCCCGCGACGGGUCAAGCGAUUCGACCGAUGAGGGAUCAAAUCGGCCAGGUCCGAAAACCUCCUUAGUACAUUUGCUUCGGCAAGACGAGCCGAAUGACAGGUGAGGCCUAUACUCAGGCUGAGAGAUGAACCGAAUAGUCAGGACAAAACAAGAUCUGGUUGGCCUGAGUAGCGGAAAACGACUUUGUAUUAAUAAGAAGGGAGUGAUGCCCGGAGGGCAGAUAGACUCCGAAGUGUACAAGGGAGUGAUGCCCGGAAGACAGACAGACUCCAAGACGUUUAUAAUGAAGUGAUGCCCGGAAGGCAGACAGACUUCAAAGAGGCUAAGUUACAAGCACUACUCCUAGGAAAAAGCGAGGAGAAAAUAAACAAUAAAGGUGGUCUCUUGUGCGCAGGGGCGAAGACCCCUUUUCAUGGUACUACAGGCUUAUUUAUAUAUUUUCCCAUUGUGUUUAGUUAUCGCACGAUCGGCCAUCUUCUCCGGAUUCGAAGGACCACGUUCGACCGAUUGGAACUGCCAUUAGGAACCGCCCAUAACCACUUGCAGUUGUCACGUUUUUUGAACAAACGCGGCUCAUAUCUCCUGGCGCAUUUUCCGUGCUCCCGAUCCAGCGCUUUGACUCAGUGUGCCAAGUGUCUGCGCCGGAUUGGUUCAACAAUUGCCCCUCGGCAGCUUUCGAAGCGGCGCUUCGGUAGCUGGCGCGAUCUUCAACUUCUUAUUGCCGAAAGCAAACUUGAUCCGAGGCAUGUUUCUCGGUCCAAUCAAAUUCAAAUCUUCUGACGAGAUCUGCAGCGAUUCGUGACAUAAUCUUUCGUACAGUUUUAACCUUGGCCGUUGAUUCUUUUCUCCACAGCCUUGAUCACAUCAGUUUUGUCUCAUACGCUGCAUUAAUUAGGUCAUCUUAAUUACCGCCGUCUAUUCAUCAUUAUAGCCAACUUCGGGACUCGUAAUCGACGCAAUAGUUCGAUACGACGGCCUUUUCUUCUUCAUCAAGCUUCCCAUUCUUUUGUCUCUUUCAAUUCUUCUUUCUUUUCCUAAUCGAAUUUCUCGGCUCUUCUCUUCUUUUGAACAAUGUCUCUGGUUCCUCCUCUUCCUUCUCAUUCAUCUCUUGACUAUACUAUACUCAAACCCUUCGUUGAUUUAGAUCCUUCUAGGUUUAUAUUAGGACCUUCUUUUUUAGACAUACCAUCCCCUACUGACUCCCCUUUCUCUGAUGAGGGAUUUCCUCUAAAAAAAGUUAUUCAUCUCCAUUCUUGGUACUCAUCAGCUUCGACAGGGAAGAGUCUCAGGACUUGGCCAAGUGUCUCUGAAGCGUAUUUGGCCUGAUUAGAUAGAGUAGAAUCUGUUUACGGCGCCUCCUGGCGAGAAAUCGGCAUUUAUGAAGCGAUUCAAUUAUCUCGGCACCCUCCUAUAGCCGAUAAUCUUCUUCUGGCUGCCGCUCUUUGUUUCUGGUCCCCUAUUUCCAAUACUUUUCUUUUCAAAAGAGGACCUCUAACCCCUACUCUUUUUGAUGUAGCCGCCAUUGUCGGCUUACGCCCUCAUGGCGUCACCCUUUCUAUGGCCUACAAUCCUGAUGGUGUGUCUGAUUUCGAAGCACACCUCGAUCUUAAUGAUUUGGCUUACUCCAAAUUCCUCCGAAAAUUUGCAGGUGAAUCCCCUGCUCCAGUCACCAGACAGGAACAUACGGCGUUCCUCCUAUACUGGUUGUGCCAUAAUCUUUUCUGCACUCGUUCGCAAAAAAUCAAUCGAGAUUUUGUUCCGAUCGCCAUCGGUUUAUCUAAUGGCGAUAAGUUGGCCUUAGGGCCAUAUUUCCUUGCUUUCGUUUACAGAGAAAUUUUUUAUUACAUUAAGUCACUACCUUCAGGUGAUGGCAUCGCCAUUGGCUCUCGGUGUGGCGUUUUUUGGUUUUUGCAAAUGUUUCUUCAAUUUUAUAUCCCAGCUUUAUGUCAAUCCCCUUUCAAUCCUAUUUCAGCUGCCCAGUUUGAUUCUUAUGGGCUAGCUCUCGGCUGUCCACAGCCGAUGACCUCUGGUCAACCUUCUGAUUUUCUGACUUAUUUUAAGGCUUUUUAUGAGCCAUCAUCUGAUUCAGCUAUUUCUUGGGCUCCUUUUGUUGAUCGUCUCACCGGACCCUCUUGGUUCCUGGCUCGAUUUGAAGCCCUUCAAGGCGAACUAUCUUCUUCUCGUGCUGGUGAACAUUCAGAUGUAUGGUAUUCCUAUCUAGCCCCCCGGGAUCUUCAUGUGGGGCUUAAAUCGCGUUCAAAGUUACUACCGAGCACUGAGGUUUACUCUCCUCAGUAUGUAGCGCGGCAGUUUGGACUCAUUCAACCGAUCCCAGCUCCUUCUAAAUUUUUUACGGCCAACACGGCCGAUCAUCGUCCUCCCACCAAAAGCAUAUUUGAAGCUGACAAGCUUUCGGCCAUGGGAAAUCGUCUCAGGCGCUUCUUUCAGCUAGCAAGCUUUCGUCCGAACUAUACAGGAGUAGCCCUUUCCAGCUAUGCUACCACAUGGGAUCAGUUUACUAACAGCUUCUUUGAUCUUUCUUUGCCUCGAGCAUUCCGCAAAACCAUCCAUCCACUUGGUUGGUCCUCUGAUGCUUGUUUAUAAAUUUUCCUCCAAUAUGGCUGUAAUAAUUUAUAUUUAUAUAUAUAUAUAUAUAUUUUUUAUAUACAGCCACUACUCCGAGCAGAGAUUCUUCAACCGAGACUGAGUCUCCACCGAAAACAAUUUCUGAUACUCCACUAUUUUCCUCGGUAAUCUAUCAUUUCUUUAUUCGUCUUGGUCGUAGUCAAUCCCUGCUUCUCCAUCGGUCCCAGUCUCCGACAAGAAACCGAUUGAAGCUGUUAAAGUCACUCCUCCACCAUCCUCAAAACGGCGCAAGUCAGUGGCCAAAAGAAAAUUUCAACAAACCGAAUGCACAUCUUCGGCUGAAAUCACUAAAGACAGAGCCGAAGACAUUCCUUCGGCUGACUUUCCAACGCAAGAAACUAUUACACCGUCUUCGGCUACUGGACAAUCCCCCAUCUUAUCUGAACCAAUUGAUGUUGGGGUAAGCCGAAAUAAUUAGUCAACAUUUCUUAUUUAUUUAUAGUUUUCUUUUACUACAGUCUUUCCCUGAGCAAGCCCUUCUUGCUUAUUACUCGAAGAUGCAGAUGGAAAGACCACUUCGUCGUGAAGCCCGACUUGAGAGAAAGAGCGGGAUGGAAAAAACAAAAAGAUCUAUAAAAACGGCGAGCGCGACGCCGUUGCCGAGUGAGGCUUCGUCACCUCUUUUCAGUCCUAUCCUAACAUCGACUACAGAGGCUGAACGAAACCAGAUACCUCUUGAGCGAACCUUUGAGGACAAAGUCAAUACUCCUCCCCAUUCGACUCAGGGAGCUUCUUCCUCUAUUCCUGAUGAUCCUUUAUUUGCAAUUCUUCAUUCUUUUUUGACUUCAAGCCCUAGCUCCAAUGAGGGGGAUGAUUCUUCGACUGUGACCAUUUCAUCAGAUACCCAGAAUAAGCUCGAUGAAUGUCUUAAAAUAUUUGGCAUCGGAAUUCCGAAUUUAGCUCAGACUCCCGAGCAGUCUGAUCGGCUAUAUGCCCUUUUACUCGACUUAGCCGAUCGAUCGGAUGUUUCCCCUGGUAUCAAAUAUUUUGUGUCAACCUUAUCACUCCAACUUUCAUCUUUUUUGGCUCGGCAGCAAUCUUUAGGUGCCGAACUUGUAACUUUAGAUCAACAUUUUUAUCGCGUUGAUCAUUUCAAGAAAAAUAUACCUGAUAUAGCAGCUCCGCAUACUGAGGUGCAUCGAGAGGAUAAAGAAUUAGCUGAUCAAGAAUCGGCUCUGCAAAAGCGAAUCUCCUCACUUAAAGAAGAAUUGGCAGCAGCCGAGUCCACUCUGGCGCAUACCUCCGAGCGUCGACUUCAAUUAAAAGAUCAAUUGAGAUCUAAAAAGGAGGAAGGGAUAAAGCUUAAAGAAGAACUUUCCCAACUUUACAAAGUGCAUCCUCUGAUGAAGCGCCGAAGGAAAGCUGCCGAAACUGCCCAAGCCAAUCUUAUAGCCGAAUGGAAUCAACUUAGAGACUUAUUAUCUUGAUUCGGCUUGUAAUAUUUAAUCCUGAUUUUGAUUAUUUUCCCACAUGGAUGGGUAAUAUCUCUUUAAAUACUUACCGUUGAUUGGUUUUUCAUUUUCUGACCCAUCUCUGUUUUGCAAAUAAUACGCAUUUCCUCUUGUAACUCGACUAACCUGAAAUGGUCCUUCCCAAUUUGGAGACCAUUUCCCAUACACUCGGUCUUUUUGACCGAUCGGAAAAACCAGUCGAAGUACCAAAUCACCAAUGGCAAAUGUCUUUGAUCGGACUUUCUUAUUAUACGCAUUACGUACUCGGCUCUGGUAAGCUUGCAUAUUAUCUAAAGCUAUCAACCGAGUGUCUGUCAGUUCUUCUGUUUUGUCUUUCAUUAACUGACUAUAUUCAUCGGCCGAAAGAUUUUUUUGUUUUUCUAUCCUUAAAGAAGGAACUGUUAUUUCGGCUGGAAUUACGGCCUCAUGGCCGUAGACUAAUUGGAAUGGUGUCAUCCCUGUUGCCGUUUUCACUGAGGUUCGGCAUGACCAUAAUACUUCGGAAAGCUUUUCGUUCCAUUUUCUUGGAUGCUUUCCGAUAUGUCGUUUCAUAAGGUUAACGACUAUCUUAUUUGCUGCUUCUACUUGCCCAUUCGCUUGGGCAUAAUAAGGAGACGAAUGGAGCAGCUUUAUCUUUCGAGAUUCAAUGAACCGAACGAACUGUCCUCCUGUGAACAUUGUCCCUUGAUCGGUUGUAACGGUCUCAGGAAUCCCAAAGCGAUGAAUUAUAUGAUCUUCAACAAAAUCAAUAAUUUUCUUUUGUGUAACCAACCGAGUGGGUUUGGCUUCCACCCACUUAGUAAAAUAAUCGAUGGCUACUAUUAGAAAUUUGUGACCAGCCGAUGAAUUCGGCUGAAUUUCUCCAAUUAAAUCAAUGGCCCAUCCUCGAAAAGGCCAUGGUUUAAUUAUUGCGUACAUCUCAGAGGCAGGAACCCUCUGAAUCGGGCCAUGAAAUUGACAUUCUUGGCAACCCUUGGCAUACUCUAUGCAAUCUUGAUGCAUAGUUGGCCAAUAAUAUCCUAGGUGCCGAAUGGUCCAUCUUAACUUUUUUCCUGCCAUAUGGGUUCCACAUAUUCCUUCAUGUGUUUCCCCUAUUACCAAUAGAGCUUCUUCCGGCCCUAAACAUUUCAAUAAAACUUCUUCGGCUGUUCUUUUGUAUAGUUGACCGUCUAAUAAGCAGUAGCCGAGAGCCCUUCUUCGAAUAUUAUAAUCAACCCUUGUAUUGGGAUCCUCCAAAUAUUUAAUUAAUGAUUUCCUCCAGUCAUCUUUUACUUCUACAGGAGCUAUGAUCGGCUUUCGUAUAUGAACCGAAGGUAGCAGUCUCUUGUGUAUUAUUAUUGACUCUGAUUUCGGUUCUCUGUACCCUGAAGCCGAUUGGGCCAAUUCGUUUGCCCUUUCAUUUUCUUGUCUUUUCAAAUGUUCAAGUUCGGCUUCUCCGAAAUUGCAUAAUAAUUCUAAUGUCUUUCUCAGAUAAUUUUGCAAAUUUGGAUUUUCACAUCGGUAUUUUCCUUUAACCUGCUUGAUCACUAACUGUGAGUCACCGAUGACUUUGAUUGACUUAACUUUCAAUUCUUGCAAUAUUUCAAGGCCGAUUAUCAAGGCCUCAUAUUCGGCUUGGUUGUUGGAACAGCCGAAAUCCAAUUUAAAUGCAAAUUGACAAAUAUAACCUUCAGGUGACUGUAUCACUAUCCCUACUCCUGCAGAUUCAGUUGUUUUUGAACCGUCAAAGUAUAAUACCCAAGGUUGACAACCGAUUACAUUCUGUAUCGGCUCCUCUAUUUCUACACAUGGGUGAUCAGCCAGAAAAUCAGCUAUAGCCUGGCCUUUAAUAGCUUUAGCAGGAACAUUUAAGAGAGAACUCGGAUAAAGCCAAUAUCCACUUCCCAAUACGUCCUCGCAGCACUGGCUUGGAUAACAUAUAUUUUAUCAAAUCGGUCUUACAUAUCACCGAUACUUCAAUUGACAAAAUAUAAUAUCUCAAUUUUGUGCAUGCAUAAUAUAAAGCUAAACAUAAUUUUUCUAUAGCCGAGUACCGUUUCUCUGUAUCUAGCAAACGUCGGCUUAAAUAAUAAAUAGCUUGCUCUUCUUUCUCUUCAUUUUCUUGAGCCAGCAAACANNNNNNNNNNNNNNNNNNNNNNNNNNNNNNNNNNNNNNNNNNNNNNNNNNNNNNNNNNNNNNNNNNNNNNNACUCUGCUAUCAUCAAUUCGUUAAAAAAAAAAAAGAGAAAAAAGAAAAAAAGAGAGAGAGAGAGAGAGAAAAUAAAGCCCAAUUAAUAUUCUCAAUUUUUUAUUUUUUCAUGAUGAUGGUGAUUAUUAGUAUUGUCUAUAUUGUCUACGGAGGAGGGGUUGUGGUGUUGGAAUUUGAGGUGUACUGCUUGGACUUGGAGGAGGAGCAGCGCUCGGUUGUUCACCUCCCUCUCGAAUCUCCAGAGGUAGUUGAUGCCCACAAGGAGCUCCGCGAUCGCCGCCUCCACCUUCUCCCGGUGCGCCAAGUGCAGCGUCUGCAGGACCAACACCGCCGACGCCGACGCCGACGCCGACGCCGACGCCGACGCGCCCGGAGCCGCGCGCGCACGCCCGCGGGGAGCAUCGCGUAGAGCUCGUCCCGCGCCCCCGCCCCCGCCGCGCGCGGGCCCCGCGCCGCCCGCUCCGCCGCGAUCACCACCCCCGCGUACCGCAGCCCCAGCGCCGCCGCCCCCACCGUCGUCUCCGGCGCCACCAUCGCCGCCGCGCUCGCCUCCAAAAACCCUAACCCUAACCCCUCCCCCUCCCCCGACUCCUUCCAGAACCUCCAGAUCGGGCGCCCUCCGCCGCCCUCUGCAGUCCCCCGCGGCGUCGCGCCCCCUCUCCCCUUUUCCUCUGCCGCCCCCCGUCCCGCCGCCUUCCCCGCCGGCCCCGGCCCCGCGCCUUCCGUCGCCGCCGCCCCGCCGAUGGGCCCGCCCGGGUUGAUCAGGGCCCCUUUGCCCUCCGCCGCGCCCCCGCAGUCGCAUGUGGUGCGGCCCUUCCCCGGCAGCCCCCCGGCCGGUGCGCCGUCAUCUCAGCCCUUCGCCGCGCCGCCGCCCACGGCCCCGCAGACAUUUAGCGNAGCGACCGGAUUAGGGCUCCUCGAAGCGUCCGGGACGAUCCCGAACGCGCGCUUGAUCCGCGCGAGGAUGGUGAACGCCGCGCGCGCGAUGAGGGACACCGCGUCGUCGAACGCCGUCCCCCACAGCGAGGCGCGCUUAAGGUGUUCGACCUCUUGCCUCAGCCAAAACACCCGCUGCUGCACCUCCACCGCCGCAGCCAGUUUGCCGCCGCCGCCGCCGCACCGCGCCAGCCUCCGCAGGCACGCUUCGGCCUCCGCCAGCUCCUCCAUUUCCGUAAAGAGCGCGGCGGUGGACGCCACCAGCCGGUCCAUCUUCUUCACGCUGUGCUGCAUUUCUUUGGCGCUCAUCACCCAACUGUGAUCGGCCGCGCCGUCGCCCGACGAAUCGGCAAACUCUUUUACGCGCUUUCUGAAUUCGCGGAGCGCCGGGUCGGCGCAGCGCGGGGCGAGGGCGGCGGCGGCGGCGUCGGCGGCGUGGCGGAGGGAGUCGGCGAGCUCGGCGCAGGCGAGGGAGAGGAGGACGGAGUCGUCGUCGGAGACGACCCUGCGCACGCCCGGGAGGCGGAUGGUCUCGCGGCGGAGGCGCGCGAGGGCGGCGUCCGAGAGCGACCGCCAGAGGUGGAGGAGCCGCGACACGAUCGCCGCGGCCUCGAAGGCCAGGAUGCCUAAAUUGGCGGAUCUCUUCUUCUUGCUGGGCACCACGGCCGAUUUUACCAAUUUGGCUAUCCAUGACUCGAAGGUCAUGGACAUGUCUCUCGAGAAUGAUAUAUAAAAAGAAGAAAUUGACAAUCGAUGCGGAGGAGGAAGAGGAGGAGAUCGAUGGAAUGAAUAGAGUAGCUAGGAGAGAGGGAUAAAACUAAUUCAUUAAAGAGAGGAGAGAGAGAGAGAGAGAGAGAGAGAAAGAGAGGAGAGGGAGGUGUGGGAGCUCGUGGGAUGCUGAAAGGUGUAAGGUACACUACAUAUAGAAAAAAGGAAAGAGACGAGGAGGGGAGGGGGGGAUGGAGAAGCCACAACGACAGCAGGAAGUGGACGUUGGAUUUCAUUAGGAACGGAAAUUGUUGGCUGCAGCCGGUGCAUUAAUACAUCAUGUGCACCACCUCCAUCUAUCUGCUUGUCUACCCUCAUACAUAUAUAUAUAUAGUGCAUGACUUCCACCGAUCGAUCGAGGAGCUCCUCAACGAGGCUUCAAUAACACCCAGUGGCCGGUGAGCGAUCAAUCUCAUAUAUACAUCGUGUGCUCGAAUUUUAUAACUCAUUUAUAAUCUCACAGCUCUAAAAUCGCCUUUGUAUAGUGUGGAUUUAAAGAGUCCCGUAGGUGCAUACAAACAAGGUGUAUGGGUGCACGGGUGCGCGCAACAGUUCUUUUGUGGAGGAGGGAGCCACAAGAGGAGAAAAGAUCUAAUUUAGCUUUUGGUUUUAAGUGGUAAAAGAAAAAAAAAAAAGAAAAAAAGAAAGGAUAGGACUUUUUUAUAAAACAACCCUAUAAAAGUUUAAAAUUUGCGAAAUAACCCACUCAAAAUUUUAUUUAUAAAACUAAUCCUCUUUUCGCCACGUCGGCGCCACGUCAGAAUUUUUUUUAAAGGCAGUGAAUCGUUCACCGCGUUCUCCCAUUUCUUUUAAAGACGGUGAAUCGUUCACCGUGUUCUCCCAUUUUUUUUAAAGGCGGUGAAUCAUUCACCGUUUUCUCCCAUAAAUUAUUUACUGUUAUUUUCUAUAUUCCAUAUAAAGGCAGGUAAGAUUAUAUGAAAUUAUAUAGAUAAAUUAUUAGGAUUUAAAAGUUGUUAAGAUUAUAUGGGAUAUAGAAAGAAACAGUAAAUAAGUGAAAGGCGGUGAAUGAUUUACCGUUUUUAAAAAAAAAUGGGAGAAAACGGUGAACGAUUCACCGUCUUUAAAAGAAAUAAGAGAAAACGGCGAACGAUUCACCGUCUUUGUAAGAAAAUCCUGACGUGGCGCCUACGUGGCGAAAGAAGGGUUAGUUUUACAAAUAAAAUUUUCAUAUGAUUAUUUUGCCAAUUAUAAUUUUUUAGAGGGUCAUUUUAUAAAAAAGCCCAAAGGAUACGCAUCAAGUGAGAGUAGGAAUUGAUUAGAUAAUAGAGUAGUGGUGCUAGGUUACCCUUUAAGGUCUCCUCAAAGGUCGCAAUCGUAGUGCCAAAAUGAAGACAUGAUGGAUUGUGACCAAUGUACAUGUACAGUUUGAAAUAUUACUAAACAUGAGGGAGUAGUUUGGUACAGGAUUAAAUUUGUGAGGUUAAAUAUUUUUGUGCAACAUUUUAUAGAGUAAAUAUUAUUUUUAUGAAAAAAAAAAAAGUGUAAGCGAUGCAUGCAUGAUUAUUUGAAAAGAAAGAGUGAGAAGAGACAAUGUUAGGAUAGAGAAAUGAAAGAUUAAGGGUCGAGGGAGGAAGUGAGGAGAAAAAAUGGAAGAUAGUAAGUGAGAAAAGAAGUAAUGAGAAAAGAGAAACUGAAGAGAGAUAAAAUAGAGGAGGAGAGAGAAGACAAUGAAAGAAAAAGAGAGAAGACUAGAGUAUAAAGAAUGAGAGAGAAAGUGAACGAGAAAAGGUGAGAAAAAAGAAUGAGAAGAGAAAAAGUAAAAAGAGAGAAAGGACUUAAGAAAAAGAAAUUGAAGAGAGAUACAACAAGGAGAGAGGCAAAAGAGCAAAAGUAAAAAAAGAGAAAGUGAUGAAAAAGAUGAUAGUGAGAAAGUGUGAAGAGAGAAGGGAAAGAAGAGAGAUAAAGAAAAUAGAGGGGUGAGAGAGAAAGUAAAGCGAGAAAAUAAGAGAGAGAAAAAUGAAAAGAGGAAAUAAAAAGAAAAAAAAGUGAGGAGAGAUAAAUGAAAGAGAGAUUGAGAGAGAAAAUGAUGAGGAAAUUGUAAAGAGAAAAAGUGAAGAGAGAAAUUAAAGAGAGGGAAAGUAAAGAAAGAAAUUAAGACAGAAAAAGUUCAGAGAGAAAAUAAGAGAUUGUGGAGAACGAUUAAAACAAAGAAAGUGAGGGGAGAGAAAGUGAGAGGAAUAAUGUAAAAAGGAUUAAAAUUUUAUUACUUUUUAUAUAUUAUCUAGGCCUUUUGCAUAAAAAAUUUAUUAUCUUUGCAUUUUUACAAAAUCGAAUCAUUUUUUUAAUUUUACAGAUUCGAACCAAAUUUGUAAAACACUAACAAAAAUAUCCAUAUUUUCUCUUUCCUUUCUCUUUCUCCUUCCUCUCUUUAUCCUUCCAUUUCCUUUCCCUCCUCUUCUUCCUCCUCCACUGCCUCCACGUCGUCACCGUGCUCCUCCCCCCACCUCGCCUAUGUCUCUAUCGCCGCCGCCACACUUCUAGCUACCUACCUCAUUUUUGCAGACAAUGAGGUCAUUCUGAGCAAAGAGCUUGGCAGUGAGGCCACGACAGACGGCGUAGCCAUGGAUGGUGAUGGUGUCGCGGAAUGUGAGACCCUAGGUAGUCCUAUAUAUAAGGUAUAAUAGAGCUAAAACUCUUUACCCGGUUUAAGCAUUUUGGAUGGUGGCUAGAUCCAAAAGGUUAAGAGAGUUAAGCAUGUUAGGACUAAAGAAGUCCUGCGAUUGAUAACCCCUUGAAAAGUUGGGGCGUCACAGCUAGUAUCAGAGUCAAUUACCAACCGGAAGUGUGAGAUGAGUCUCGACUGAGCCAGGAUUGUAUAGCGGGGAAAGCGUAGCUCUAAUGCUGUUUGACUAUUGUGACUGGAGCGCAGCUCACCACAUUGUCGAUUUAGGCUAGCGAGAUGAGUCUCACAUCGUCUGAUACUUAUGAGUUUGAGCCUGACAAGGACGUCAGGGCUUAAGGGGGGAGAAUGUAAGACCCCACAUAAUCCUAUAUAUAAGAUAUAAUAGGGAUAUAACUCUUAACCUAGCUUAAGCAUUUUGUAUGGUGGCUAAGCCCAAGAGUAUAAAAGAGUUAAGCGUGCUAAGACGGGAGUAGUCCUAGGAUUGGUGACUCCCUGAAAAGUUGGGGCGUCACACAGGCUUUGAGGACGAUGGGAAGAGAAAAUGCUUCGAGUCGAGGAUGAUGGCUGCGGAGCAUAUAUACGGUGGAAAAGAUAAAGAAUAAGAUAGAGAGAGCUAUAGUGAAGGAGGAUGCAAUUUUUUUCUUUUCCUAGAAAUACUAGCACACUCCAUGACCACUCCGGAAGGCCAAGAAGAAAAGAAAAAAAAAAAGAAAAAAUAAUACUAUUUUAGAGUAAAUUGUACUAAUUAAGACUGAGUUUCACUCACUAAGCCUAAGUUGUACUAUUUGUGCAACUCAAAUAGUGCAGUUUAGCCUCAAGUGGUACAACUUAAUUUUAAAUACUAUAACUUUUAAUUUUGUGCAUAGUACAGCUUAACCUCAAAUAAUUUCAAAUAAUGCAACUUGGUCUCAAAUGAUACAACUUAGUCACGAUUGUCGUCGUCGAACAUAUCGUCUCUUCCAUCACUGCGAUCAAGGGUUGGGGUCGUAGAACACUUACGCGUCCUGUGGUGGAGGACAAAAAGCGAUGCUCAAGGGAAGGUCGCGCAUACAAAGCUGCGGAAGAGGAAGGCAUAGCGCCGCACUUCUAGAGGCAGUAGGUAUUGAGCUGAGGAAAGGGAUCGAGGAGCAGUGCGGUAGGUGUCGGAGAGAACGGCACGCAAGGGAAAGCGAGAGGAGAAAGAAAGAAAAGAGCAAUGGAGGAGGAAGAGGAGGAAGACGAACGAGAGAAAGAACGAAGAGGGAAAGAGGAAUAAAAGCAAGUUGGGCAGUUUACUAAAAAUCCAAAGUGAAUCUGUAAAAAUUUAAAAAGUGGUAUUUUCGCAAUAAUGCAGAAUCACUGAAUUUUUAAUGCAAACUAGCCUAUUAUUUAUUUCAUUUUUUUACCUAACUUUUUCUUGGUUAACAAAUUUGCAUUAUUAAAAGUUAAAGAUAGAUGAAGCUUUUACCUCCCUUAAACGUUAAUCCGAUGUACCAAACGCAAUUAAUUGAGGGUAAAAAUUUAUAAGAAUAAAAUUUCACCUCCUUUCCUAUAACAAACACGUCUUAAAAAAUCAUGAAAAGAAUAAAAAAAUAUAUUAUUUGUACACUUAAAAAAUAGGUAUAAAGUUUACAAUUAUUUAUUUAUGAUUGUAUAUGAAUUAGAAAGCUUUAGGGGUUAUUUGGUUCCACGGAGAAGUAUAGAAAAAAGUUUUCUGAGAAAAAAAAAAUUACUUUAAAAAAAUUCUGAUUUUUGUCUGCUUGGUUCCAAAAAAAAAACUUUUUUACAAAGCUUUUUUACAAAUUUUAUAGAAAACUAACGUUUUCGUUUUCCUAAAAAAAGAAUCUGAAAAAUAAAAGCAUUAAUUUGCUAUAAAAUUUGGAAAACAGAUUGUCAUAAAAGCUAGCUUUAAAAAAAUAAUAAUAAUAAUCAAAUAGACGUAAAACUGAAAUAGAGGCUCUCCAUGAAAAAAAAAAAAAAAAAAAAUUUCUUGAAAACCAUUUUUCCACAUUUUUCCGACAAACCAUACACCCCCUAGCAAAGUUUUAAACGCUUCUACAAAUUGACAAUUUUAGAAAAGAUUGUAAAAUUUGUGACAAUUUCAAACUAAUUAGUGAUAAUAGAAUCCCUGAAUGCAUCUGCACACGAAGAGUAUUCAAUAAAUUCGAUUUGGUUUUAGCAAUACUCCGGGUAGAAUUAUAGAUUUGGCUUUCAUUCAAGCAUCUAAAACAAAGUUUAACUUUAUGGCAAAUCUUUUAUAAUUUGUAUCUAACAUUUUGGGACCAAUUGGUUAGAUGUAAUUACAAAUGCAGUAUAGUUGAAGAUGUUUGCAGUUAAAAUCGCAGCAAUUACCUGCAGUUAAGAAAUAAUUUUUAAAAUUUUAUCAUUUAAUAUAUAUGAUGGUGAAAUUACCUCUAAUGUAAUUAUAUAUAUAUAUAUAUUAGAGAGAGAGAGAGGAGAGAGACGAGAGAGAGAGAGAGAGAGAGAGUUGUGUGGUAUGCUUUAUGGAGAACGGAGGCCUUCGUGCUUCCAAGUCGUUUUCGAUGUUCAAACUUCGAAUCGACGAUCGGUUCGUUAGAAUUGAUAUAGAGUUAUUUAAAAUAUCUAGAAAAUAAAUUUUACGAUUUUUCGAUAUCAUUUGCUAGUGAUCGAAGAGGCUCAAAAUCAAUAAUUUUAACGGCCGUGGUGAGCCGUUUGCAAGUUAUAACGGUGUAGAAAAUAUCCAAAUCACGUGAAAUUUUGAUAGAAAUUCUUUAUACUAUAUAAAUAAGAUCAAUAUCUUUGAUCUAAAUUUUAAUGUCAUAUCAUCACAUUUUGUGAGAUUUUUAUUUCAGCCGUUGAUUUUUGAGCCCCUUCGAUCACUAGGCAAAUGAUAUCGAAAAUCGCAAAAUUUAUUUUCUAAGUACUUCAAAUACUCAGAUCAAGUCUAACGGAGCCGAUCGUCGAUUCGAAAGUCCAACAUAAAAAUAAAUUUGGAAGCACGGAGGCCUCCAUGCUUCCAUAAGCAUACUAGCCGCAUAUAUAUAUAUAAUAUAUAUAUAUAUAUAUAUAUAUAUAUAUAUAUAUAUAUAGUUUAAAAAAUAAUUAAAAAGAUAUGUUUAUUUUUUGUUUAAAGUUAUUCUCUCCAACUGUUGCAGUUUGAACUGCUGUCAAUUUAAGCGUAAUUUUAACUACUAUAAUUGAGCCUCCUCUUGUAGUAAUUAAAGUUAAAUAUAUUAAAUUAAAUACCAAAUUUGUAUUGCAUAUAAUUAUAACUACGGUGCAUUUACAACUACGUACCAUGUUAGGGGUUUAUUACAUAUUACUUAAAUCACAAAAAGGUAGCUCGCACGUGCGGCUGAGGGCACGAGCGUCUGUGUCCGUGGGGCGGCUUUUGCAGCACCGAAAUCAGAACCGUCCAAUUUCUCUGAAAAAAUAUCUGAGCCAUCCAAAACAGCUAAAGACGAAUCAGCUUCAAAGAGCAUCGAUGGAACGGGAAUAAAGUAAAAAAAAUCAGAUAUUUACAUAAAAUUUUUAUAUUUUAGCCUAAUUUAAUUACUUAAUAUUUCUAUAAGUUAAUUUCAUACAAUUUUUUAUAAACAUAUCGAAUAAUAAAUAUAUCUCUAUAAAAUUCAACUUCUCAUAUUUAUCUAUGUUAAAAUUUCGUGAUAUUCAUAUUUGCCCAUCUGGUUAGAGCACGGUUUAUUUUUCAAUAGAAGAUAAGUAAAAUAAUAUUUUGACCAUUACAAAUAUGUCCCUCCAAAAAUCUUAUCUGUUAAAAUUAGGCAGAAAUAUUCUCCCAAAAAUUUCCUACAGUCACUUCUUUUUUUCUACUAUCACAAAUAAUAUAAAAGGGGUUAAAAAAUCAAUUUACCUCAUUUACUAACCAGGUUAAGUAUUUAAUCUAUGAUUAACUAUAUUUUUUUAACGGAUCCUAACAGUAGGGUAUAUUUGAAAACAUUAAAAGUUUUAUAGGAGUAAAUAUUAAAAGUUGAACUUUUAAGAAAUACAUCUUUUAUAGGGUAAACUUCAAAUGCCCUCCUUGUAAUUUCACACUUUCUCACUUUAGUUUCCUGUGGUUUAAAGUAUAUCAAGUUAGGCCAUGUGAUUUCGCACUUUCUCACUUUCGUACCGUGUGAUUUAAAGUGUAUCAAGUUAGUACCCUGUGGUUUUAUUUUUCUCUUUUUAUUAUCUAUUUCACUAAUUUUUUUCGUUAAAUUAGUGACAAAUUUAAAAUUAAAGGAUACUAAAGUGAAUAUUCAAUAAACCUAGGUAGGGUAUCUGAAGUUUUUUUGCAUAUAAUUUAACGAAAUAUUAACGGGGAAAAAAAAAUCAGUAACAAAGUUAAAACUAAAGAGUACUAAAAUAAAUAUUCGAUAAACCUCGGUAAGGUAUCUGAAGUUUUUUGUAUAUAAUUUAACGAAAUAUUAACAGAGGAGCCGACGAAAAGAGAAAAAUGAAACCAUAGGAUACUAAAUUGAUGCACUUUAAACUAUAGGGUACUAAACUGAGAAAGUGCUAAACUACAGGGUACUAAAUUGAUAUACUUUAAACCACAUGGUACUAAAAUGAAAAAGUGUGAAACCAUAGGAAUAGUACUUGAAGUUUUUCCUAUUUAUUAUUCGAUAUGUUUACAUAGAACUGUAUGCAAGUACCCCUAUUUUUUCAUGUAGAAUCUUUGUUAUGUAGGUCUCAAUUACAUGCUCUGGAAUAAGAUAUUUAUUCGAUGUCCCACUGUCGAAAACGAAAGGUCGGAUAUUGACAGGANAAAAAAAAAAAAAAAAAAAAAAACAAUAUUAUCAAACAUGUUUUAUGACAACUAGUCUUUGUAAGUUGAGGGAUGCAUCAAUGAAACAGAUCAAUAUAUUAGUCUUCAUAUAUAUUUUUCAUCUGAAGAUUCUAAAUUUGUAUAGAAGAGUAGUCCGGCUCUUAUCAAAUCAUUUUCCUCGAAUAAUAUAGUAAUUAAUAUAAUACAGGAGCUUGUACUAAACACUCCUCUUUCAAAAAAUUCCAUGUUUAAUUUUCAGUUCCUUGAUACCUAACAUAUCGCCUCAGAGCCGUGACGCUACAUAAACCCUUUUUUUGGGGGGGGCCUAAAGCACCUUAUAUCAAGAUUUGAGAUUUGAGUCCAGCUACUAUCCUUUUAGGAGAACGGAGAACUACGUCCUUCUAAGUCGUUUUAAAUAAUAGAGAUCCCAAAUCGAUCAUUAGAACUAUUAAAAUUGAUCUAGAGUAUUUAUAAUAUAUAGAAACUAAAUUUCAUACAUUUUAAAAUUCGUUACCAAAUUCAUUGAAGAGUCGAAAAAUAAACGGUUAAAAAUAAAUAACCUUAUGAAAAUAGAUGUCAGACCUUUUCAAUUUAUGAUCGGAAUUAUCAAUCGUUAUCUAAAUAGUAUAAAAAGUUUUCUAUAAAAAUUUCAAGCUGUUCGGAUUGUUAUAUACCGUUUAACAAGCAAACGGCUCAUAUAGGCCAUCAAAAACUGUCAAUUUUGUAAUUCUUUGAUCAGCAGAAAAAUAAUUUUUAAAAUUUAUGAAAUUUAGUUUCUAGAUACUUUAAAUACUCUAGAUUAAUUUUAACGGUUCCGAUCAUCGAUUCGAGAUUCUUAUCAUCUCAAACGAUUUAGGAGGACGAAGGCCUCAUUCUCCCAAAAAGAUUAUGGCUGGAUUCAUAAAGAUUUUCCUAAAAUUGAUAUGGAUAUAGAAAUAUCUUGUUUAAUAUAUUUUUUAUUUACUAAAAAAUUAUAAUACUUGAGAAAUAAUAAAUAUAAUUAAAUUUAAAAAUUACUAAUAAUAUUCAAUUUUUAAAAUUAUUUUUUUUAAACAAGACAAACCACUUUGUAAAGAAAACAUAUUAUUCUAUCAAAUCAUGCAUUUCAAGAUUUUUCAAAGAGCAGAAAUGUAUCUCAUUCCUUCUACUCAUAAAGGAAAAAAAAUCCCAUGCCAAAUAUAUAUAUAACAUAUUUUGAGAAUCAUACAGGGCAGAAAAUAAAACAACUUUAGAGAGAGAGAGAGAGAGCGCGCGCGCGCUAAAUUACUAUGCCUUCAAAUUUGAAGUAAGGAGGCCUCUAUAUAUUUUUUUUUUGAGAGAUAGGUAGAGGUAGCAUGCUACCUGUUUUGUUUAUUUCAUUUAGAAAUAAACUUAGCUGGAAAUGUGAAUCAACUAGGAUUCGAACUUUGGUCUCGGGUACCAACCACCAAACCCUUUGCCACUUGCUCUAGGAACGGUCGGUGGAGAUCUUUAUAUGUUAAAGUUGUUUACGAUAAUGGGGCAUUCAAUUCGACGAUCGGUUUCAGUAAAAAUGAUCUAUAGUGUUAGAACUAUCUAAAAACCAAAUUUAAUAAUUAUUUGACUUCGUUUGUCUAGUGAAUAAGUAAUUUCAAAAUAAAUAGCUGAAAAUAAAAAUUUUAUAAAAAAUAGUGAUAAAAGACUUUGAAUUUCAAAUUGAAAGUAUUGAUCUUCUUUUUGAUGGUAAGUAUUAUUUUCUAUUAAAGUUUCACCUAGCUUCGAUUAUCCUACAUUAUUAAACUUACAAACAUCCCACAUAAGUUAUUAAAAUAGUCAAUUUUAAACCUUUGAUCAUUUGAUAAAUAAUGUCGAAAAAUUAUGAAAUUUGGUUUCUAAAAUAGUUUUAAUAGCGUAAAUCAUAGCUAACGAAGCCGAUCAUCGAAUCGGAUAUCCUAUCAUGAAAACAACUUACAAGCAUGAAAGCCUCCUAGAGUUUUGUUGGGCCACUAUCUGUAAUAAACAGCUCGGUUAUUACCAAUUUAUUUUCAUUGAUAAAACUUUCAAAUUAUCCAUCAGCACUGUUGAACAUGAUUUAGACCAUCUAAAUUAUCUAAAAAUCAAAUUUCAUACUUUUUCUGUAAAUCGCUAGAAUAUUUUUAAAAGUAAAUGGCCCUUUUUAUGACUAAUUUAUAAUCCUUGAAUUAAAAAUUAUAGAAUUAAGAUAAUAAUGAAUGGUCUCCUGCAAUCUGGUAAUGGUGGUCCCCCUAAAGUAUUAUACUAGUUGGUGAAAUAGUAUUGAUUUUAGAAUAGAAAUGAUUAAACGAAUAGAUCUAAUGGUGGAAAAUUUGGUAGCACCAAACACUAGCUUAGUGCAAUUAGAAGCAUCUCGGUCCGACUGGUAUACUUCUAAUAUAUAGUAUCAAGAAAUUUUUUGAACCACGGAAUGGCAAAUUAAAGUUAUCCUUUAUUUUGCCAUCAAACUUUUGAUUUCAACAUUCAAGGUCCUAAACUAUCUAUAAGGUUUAAAAUUUUAGCAUCUAAAAUUUCAAUAAUAUUUUAUUUUAGUUAUUAUCUUAGAAUAAAAUUUGUUGCUUGCAUCUAGUUCAUAUGUGUAUCCGUUUACAAUAUAAAUAUAUUAGUUUUUAUUUAUCUCAUACUUUCAAAUUUAAAAGUCCAAUUAGUAUAUAAAAAAAAUAAUUGUGACUUUAUGAGCUAUAACAUUGAAAUAUAAGAUUAUAUAUUAAAAAAAGAGUCAAUAAAUUUAUGAUGCAUUGAUGUACAAAUGCACCAGAUGUAGGCAACAAUUCAGCCUCUCUAAUACGAAAUAUAGAUAAGGGACCGCUCGUAUCGAACUUGAAAGUUUGAGGAUCAAAAUAAAAUUUUGCCAACAGUUCAGAGACUAGUGGUGCAAUUUACCACAUCAAAAUUUAGGAGGGUAUUUGUGAAAUUAUGACACUAGGUCUAAUGAUCUUUCCAAAAGGUUAAAAAUACUAGCUACAGAUACUUUGACCUCAGCUAUACUAUGUCCUAUUUUGAUCUGAUUAUUUUAUAUUUAAGAAUAUUUUGAAUUUAUUUUUUUUAGAGAAACAUAUAGCAAACUAACCGUUUUGUUUUUAAAAAUAAAUUUAAUUGAAAAUUAAUAUGAAGUAAUCAAGGUUCGAAGUUAGAAUAUCAGAUAUCAAUUAUUAAAUAUUUUGCCGCCUGCGCUGAGAUGAUUAAUAAUAUUUUGAUUUUGUUACUUUUUCAACCUUUUUUCUAGUUUUCCUUUCGUCGCAAGAGAAAUAGAAGAGGAAAGAAACUGACCGUUCCCGGCGUAAGUGGCAAAAGGGCUUGGUGGUUGGUUCUCGAGACCCAAAUUCGAAUCCAAGUUGAUUCACAUUUCUAGCUAAGUUUAUUUUUAAAUGAAAUAAACGAAGCGGGUAGCCUGCUACUGUCACGCCCCGGAUUACACUUUCCCCGGGCGCGCCGACAAAUCCGCCGUAUACAAAGGAAUUUCCCCUGUAUACGAAGCGAUAGCUGUACCAGAAAAUCAAACACUACCACGAACAGUAGUAGAGAGCUGCUGGAGAGAACAGAAGCUAAACAAACUGAGUUUCAUAUACAUAGUCCAGAUCCAAAAUACAAAGCUACUCGCACUGGCGAGUUAAGUCCACUAUGUACAUAAACUCGAAACAAAACAUCUACCUGCAGUAGGAGCACCUCUAGCUCAGCACGUCGGGUAGGGCUCUAACUCGCAACGCCCUUGCCUCGAUCCUGAUCCGCAGACGGUGCAGCAGCCGGAACCUGUGGCUCUGCAAAAACAUAGGUAACAACUGGGCGUGAGAACUACUGUAAAAACAAGUAGUCCUCAGUGGGUACCGCCCAAAACAACAUCGGUCUACCCACUAAGUCUACAGAAGGGAGCAAGAAUAGUAGUGAAAUGCAGGAAUAAAGUCUACCGCUAUCAAAUACUACACUAUCAUGCUCUACACUAACCAACUGUAGGAAAUGUCCAACCUGACCCAAUCCAAUCGGGACUGUAAGCAUACCCGUCCCCGGGACUGUGAAUACACCCGUCCCUGCCCCGUUGUGACUGUCAAGCUCUAUCCACACUAACUGGUCCGUGGAGAGCAAGUCCAACUGGCAUGAGCGACACCAACGCGAAAGCACAAAGCCUGACUCCGGAGUGGCACUCGUGGGCGCUACCCAACCGAGUAUGCAGCGUAUCUCUGUCGAGCUCAAACAGGCUCCAACUAGCCAAAGUCAAGUAAACAGGGUCAAAACAGGUCUACAAACCAAACCCACGUGCCCUCGGCACAAUCUGUGACCAAAACAAGAAUCUGGGUCCACCGCUAACCCGAACGGCACCCAACGACCCGAAACAGCCUAAACUCUGCUGAAAAAUAAGCUCGGCAUCUCAGCACGAGCGUAAAUGCCUUCUAAACUACCUGGGGUACUCACAACCCGAAUACAAUAACUGUAUAAAAAUACAACGGCCCCUAAGGCUAAAUCAGGUAGUUAACAUAUGCCGAUCGUUAUCGCGUUUUCUCCUAAGUCAAAUCCAAGUCCAACAUGUAUGUUCAUAUUUAUUAAUCAUGUUCUCAAAUCGUAUUUAUCCAAGAUAUAAUCAAUGAGAUAGAGCUACACAUGAUUUAUACAACUACAAAUCAUACAUGUCGACUAAUGCUAUACUUAGGAAUAAACCGAUGUAACCCACCUCAAAAGCUAAUUCAGAAUAGCGAGAAGUCGAUAGAAGAAGAAAUUUUCGCGCAUGCUCGGCCUCCCAACGGCACUACCACGACGCACGCACGCUCCAACGGCUCGCCGGCGCGAAGUUGACGUCACUCCAAGCUCCACUAUAGCCUCCACGAGUUCUCCCUUUCAAACUAGAGAGAGAGAGAAAUUGUAAAUCACAAUUUCCCUCUGCAUCUCAAAGCCAUAUAGGCUACAAGAUAAGGAUGCAUGGGGGUGCACGUGGCAUCCAAAGCCACCCCCAUGCAUCACCAACCGACUACAAAGAAGUAAAUAAAUAAAUAAAUAAAAUAAAACAAGGAUACUACAUCUACCUUUCUGUCAAAAAAAAAAAAAAACACAAAACAAAACAAAACAAAAUUAUUGACAAUAUUCUUUUGUGGAGAAAAACUCUAUAUACGGUAUCAUCUUGCUGCUCAUUAGAUCAAACGCAGAGCGCUAUUAAUGAGCAGCACGUGAGAAAUAAUAGAGUGCACGUAGUAGCUAGUUAUUUUAAUUUAUUGAUGCUCUUUAUUUGCAUGGCAAGCUUUUUCCUUAUAUUAUAUAAAUAUUUAUUAUAUAAAUAAACUCAAAGUUGAAAAGUGCUUUUUGAAGUUUUCUCAUACAAAAACAUGCACCUUACGAGCGAGCAUGAAUCAACUGUAGCUGUAAUUAGAGGAACACUCGACUGUCAAAAGCGUGUUAAUUAAUAACUAAUUAAGGAAGUCCCUCGACAAAUUGUAGUAUUAAUAUAUCACAAUAACCAAGUUUCUACUUUAAACAACUAAUAAUAAUACCAUAAAAAUACAUAAUAAAAUAAUGAGUUUCGAGGAGGGAUUAAUUAAUUAAAGGCCACAUGCAUGUUCCCAGAAGCUAUAGAUCACCGUGAUAUAUAUAUAUAUAUAUAUAUAUAUAUAUAUAUAUAUAUAUAUAUAUANNNNNNNNNNNNNNNNNNNNNNNNNNNNNNNNNNNNNNNNNNNNNNNNNNNNNNNNNNNNNNNNNNNNNNNNNNNNNNNNNNNNNNNNNNNNNNNNNNNNNNNNNNNNNNNNNNNNNNNNNNNNNNNNNNNNNNNNNNNNNNNNNNNNNNNNNNNNNNNNNNNNNNNNNNNNNNNNNNNNNNNNNNNNNNNNNNNNNNNNNNNNNNNNNNNNNNNNNNNNNNNNNNNNNNNNNNNNNNNNNNNNNNNNNNNNNNNNNNNNNNNNNNNNNNNNNNNNNNNNNNNNNNNNNNNNNNNNNNNNNNNNNNNNNNNNNNNNNNNNNNNNNNNNNNNNNNNNNNNNNNNNNNNNNNNNNNNNNNNNNNNNNNNNNNNNNNNNNNNNNNNNNNNNNNNNNNNNNNNNNNNNNNNNNNNNNNNNNNNNNNNNNNNNNNNNNNNNNNNNNNNNNNNNNNNNNNNNNNNNNNNNNNNNNNNNNNNNNNNNNNNNNNNNNNNNNNNNNNNNNNNNNNNNNNNNNNNNNNNNNNNNNNNNNNNNNNNNNNNNNNNNNNNNNNNNNNNNNNNNNNNNNNNNNNNNNNNNNNNNNNNNNNNNNNNNNNNNNNNNNNNNNNNNNNNNNNNNNNNNNNNNNNNNNNNNNNNNNNNNNNNNNNNNNNNNNNNNNNNNNNNNNNNNNNNNNNNNNNNNNNNNNNNNNNNNNNNNNNNNNNNNNNNNNNNNNNNNNNNNNNNNNNNNNNNNNNNNNNNNNNNNNNNNNNNNNNNNNNNNNNNNNNNNNNNNNNNNNNNNNNNNNNNNNNNNNNNNNNNNNNNNNNNNNNNNNNNNNNNNNNNNNNNNNNNNNNNNNNNNNNNNNNNNNNNNNNNNNNNNNNNNNNNNNNNNNNNNNNNNNNNNNNNNNNNNNNNNNNNNNNNNNNNNNNNNNNNNNNNNNNNNNNNNNNNNNNNNNNNNNNNNNNNNNNNNNNNNNNNNNNNNNNNNNNNNNNNNNNNNNNNNNNNNNNNNNNNNNNNNNNNNNNNNNCCGUGAUAUAUAUAUAUAUAUAUAUAUAUAUAUAUAUAUAUAUAUAUAUAUAUGACCAGUUACAUGUUCGAAUACCAAAUAAAUACUAUUCCAAAUGCGUUUUGACUCAAUUAUAGUCAACUAGUACAGUACCUUGCACCUUUAAAUGUUCUUCGUUUCAAUAAUAUUCCAAGUCAAACGUACCCACCAUAAAUUCUAAUAGCCUCUGAUAUAUCUCUUUCUCCUUAUCAUUGCGUCAUGCAACCCUAAUGAUGACAUGUGUACGAUACUGUUUGAUCAAAUCUUUGAGGUCAACCCCUGGUGUUGACCACCUUAUCGAGAGAUGUAGAGAGAGAGAGAGAGAGAAAGAAUACCAGAUCUACUACAAACACGUACGAUACGUUGCUCGUAAAUAUUGUUGAUAUAUAUUAAUAUUUAUAAUAUGAAAGUUUUUGAUUAAUUUAAAGACCCAAUUUAAGAGUAUCGCAUGUUAUUGUCAAUAUAUCAAUGGAAAUAUUUAAAUACACACGUCUUAAUUCUAUUGUGGAUAAAUUAUAAUUUUGGUUCUCAAACUAUAUAUGAGGCGUGUGACAUUCUAGACCUCAAAGUUUAAUUUAUUGUAAUUUUCUACUCAAAUUAAUUAUGAGCCUCGUGACAAUUUAGUUCUCAAACUUUAAUUAGUUAUAAUUUCUGGCUCGAAUUAUACAAUAUGUGACUAUUUAGUUCUUGGACUUUUUGAAUUAUAACAAUAUUCUACUUUAUAAUUGCAUUACUUUGAUACUAGAAAUUUAUCAAUAUUUAUUCAAAAAAUUAGGUUGUAGAGUUUGAUUGCAAUAACUUAGAAAGUUUAAGUACUAAAGUGUUGCAUGGUUUAUAGUUUGAACCAAAAAUUAAAGUUCGAAGACUAAAAUAUAACGCGCCUCGUAGUUCGAGCCAGAAAUUAUAUAUAAUAAAUUAAAGUUCGAGAACUAAAACACCACACACCUCAUAAUUUUGAGGACCAAAAGUGUAAUUUACGUAUCCUUAUAUUUAUCAUUGUAUAGAGUUGAUUUUUUUUUAGAGAGAGAGAGAGAGAGAGCAGAAUAGCAUGCUACCCGCUUUGUUUAUCUUUUUUGAAAUAAACUGAGCUGAAAAUAUGAAGUAACUAGGUUUUGAACUUGAAAUCCCAUAUACCAACUACAAAAUCUUUUGACAUUUGCGCUGGGAAUUAACAGUUGGCGGAGUUGACUCUUCUUUGUUUUUUGGGGGGUUGAAACUUGAAUUACGACAAUUAAUGACAUAUGACUUAAUAGCUAGAAUUGACCCCCACCCUCAGCAAUUAAAGGUAGUAGUAACUAAUAAUCACUUUGUUAGAAUGAAAAGGAAAACCUCCAUAAGUGGAAAAACAGGUGGGCAUAUAUGGUUUAAAGUCUUAAUAAGUGGCUUCUGAGAGGGCCCUUUCCAGAGUCAGAAGCCUUUGCCCUUUAAUUAGUUGAAGGGCAGAUUAUCAGCAAAUUAUAAGCGCACCACCGGCCACUAUAUCGGUUAGUUGUUGGAUCGAGUUACAUCCUGUAAAAGCAUAUUUAGUUCAAAACUAAAAACCUUAUAUAUAUAUAAAUAAUAUUUAUUAUCAACUUUUUAGCUCUUACAUUUAUAAUAAUACUACUACCAAAUAGUAAAAACUGUGCAUUCAAAGAAUGAAAAGUUAAUAACAAAUAUUAUUCAUCUACCAUCAAUAGUAUUUUAGUUUCUCUCCCGCUCUCUCUCUCUCUAUAUAUAAUUAUAUAUAGGAAAAUGCUACUGUACUAUAAACAGCGCAAAUCCUUCUCUACUACGCAUUCUGUUUUCAGUGGCCAAACUUACAAAUUGUCGACUGACAAUGUUAAAUACAAUUUUGAGUAUUCGAGCAAUCUAACAAGCAAAUUUUUAAAAUGUUUUGAAACAAAUUAAUUACGUACUUAUUUGAAAGGUUUGAAAAUUAACAAUUUUAAUUAAUAGGUGAUGAAAAGUGUUUGUUAGUUUAACGAUCUACAGCAAUCCAAAUUGAUUGAAUUUUGAUAGAACAAUAUAUUCAAUGUCUAGAUUAAGAUUUAAAACUUUGAUUCUAAAUCCCAAAAUUCUAUUCUCUAUUUUAAGAAUUUAUCUGAUUUUGGUCGUUGAUUUGUCGUUAGCUGAUACAUAGGUAAAUGAUACCUAAAAUCAUAGAAUUUCUUUAGUAGAUCAAUUGAAUGUUCUAGAUGGUAUUUAACGAAGUCGAUUGAUAAUUCGAAAAUUCGAUGAUCAAAAACAAAGUGGAUAGCAUAAAAUAUUUGUAUUAUCUAUAGUAUUGCAGCACAACUCUCUCUCUCUCUCUCUCUCUCUCUCUCUCUCUCUCUAUAUAUAUAUAUAUAUAUAUAUAUAUAUAUAUAUAUAUAUAUGAGUUCGACUACUAUAAACAAAAAGUGGCUACUCCAGGGAUAGGUAUAAAUUGAGGUAUAAACGGGGAUUAGAUCAAUUUUGCGUUUGGAUAAAAAAUUGGAUAUUUUCUGAAGAUAUAAAAAAAUAACAAACGGUUAAUUAGGUUAAGAUGGAAUAAGAAAGAUAGUGGUUUUAUAAAAAAAAAAAAUAAGUAUUACUCUCUUAUUUAUAUUUAAAUUUGAAUUUUUAAACUUUAAAUUUAAAAUUUAAACUUUGAAAUUUAAAAUUUAAAUUAAAAUUACAAAUUUUAAAUUCAAAUUUAAAUUUUAAAUUUCAACAUUAAAAUUUAAGAUCAAAUUUAAAAUUUAAAAAUAUACAAAUACAAAUUUUAAAUUUCAAAAAUUUAAAAUAUUAAAUUAUAAUUAUAAUUUAUAAUUUAUAAUUAUAAACGCUUUAAUUUGAGAUUAUAAAUAUAAAUUUAAAAUUUUGAAUUUUUAAUUUUUAAAAAUUUUAAAUAAGAAUAGGUGGUAACAAUUAAUAAAAAAUUUAUGAUUAAUAAAUUUAUAAUAUUUUUUAAAAUUUCUACUUAAACUUAAAUUUAAUAAAAAGAAUUUAUAUAUAAUAUUAAAAUAUAAUUAUUUAAUAUUUAAAUAUAAAUAAUAGUAUUAAUAGUAUAAUUAAUAAUUUUAUAAUAAAAAAAUGUAUUAUAAUAUAUAAUAUAUAAUAUUUAUAUAAUUUAGUUUUAAUUCAAUUUAUAAUUUUAAUUACGUUUGAAAUUAAGUAUUGGAAUAGUACUAUUCCACCAAAAUAGUAGAAUAGCAAAUCCAUUGCUAUUCCGGAAUAACAGGGAAUAGCAAAAUUCGACCGGGAUAAAAUAUUCCGGCCAAAUUUUAUCCCGUUUGGCGGAAUAGCGGGGAUAACUUUAGUUAUCCCCGCUUAUCACCCGAACCAAACGGGGCCUUAUGAGUAUAAGUCUCUUUGUACUCAUAAGUUUUCGACUGUUAGAUUCAUCCCAUUAAUCAUUUCUACCUGUUAGAUCAUACUAUUCAACCAACUACUCACUCAACUCUAGAGGGUCACUAUCAUUCUAACUGAGGACCACUAUCAUCCUAACUGCACAUCUUUUCAUCCAACGACAAAAAAUUUAUGAAUACAAAAGAGUCUACUAUACUCUUAUGAGUGUAGUAGUCUUAGCUUAUGUAUAUAUUGAAGAUAAAAAUUUUUAUGUUAAAAAAAAAAAAAAAGAGAAAAUUGCCGGCAUACCGCUGGGAACGACUCCCAAGUAGCAGAAAUACCUCAAGAUAUAUAACUGUAUCGGAUGUAACAUCUAAAUACAAGUUUGUACUAAUCAAGGUACAAAAUCCAAUAUUUCAGAUUCAGAGAAAAGUGAAACUUAGAUCAAACAAGGAUUAGACACUUGGAUUAAUAGUGUCCAUGAACUUGGUAUCUGAAGGGUAAUGGUCCUCGUUGAUUUUUCACUUUCUUAGUGCCCCCAAACACGGAUUCCACCACUAAAGUGUCUUGAGUUUAUGCUUAGAUGGCACUGUCAAAGUGCGUAGGGCUUUAGAUAAUGAUGAGAAAUGAGAACUCUUCGGCCUCAUGCUCACUCACCCUCCCCACUUAUUCCAAAGCGCCCCCCCUCCUCUCCUAAGAUGCCUCCUCUCUCAUCUUUCCCCCAUGCAUGCGAGAGAGAGAGAGAGAGAGAGAGAGAGGGGUGUUGGGACCAUCACUUUGGGUAUUGUCUACGCAAAGUAGAACAGAUCCCCUUCAUCUCCUCUCUUUCUCUCUCUGCUUUAUAGGUGGGAAUGUUUCUCUUGUGCUUCCCCUUUCUUUAUAAGUUGGCAUCUAAGGGGUUUUGCACGUGAGAGAACCAUCAUCAUUUUUUACUAUGUGGGCCGUGCAUGUGGAGUCAUCCCCAUUCCCCACGAAGCAUUGUUUGUUUUAUGCGAAUAUAUACGAAUACAAGUUUCUACGUGUAGCUAAAUAGAAGAUCGUGCUGCGGAGAGAAUAAUACAUCACAAAUCAGACGUGAAAUACCACAUGAAGAUUCCAUGAACCAAACGAUCAAUUCUCCGAGCAUAAUCAAUGCGCACAAUACAUGAAUUACCACAUAAAAAGAAAAAAAUCAACUUGAGUGAUAGUAUAAACAAAGAUGAACAGUGAAUAAUAUCAGGUGAGUAAUUAAAAGGGUGGACUUCAAUUUACCCCCCCACUGAUAUUUCCCACAUUUUUUUUAAUUUGUUAUUUUAUUAUUCAAAAAGUUGCAAUUAACUAACUUUUAUAUUAUUUUUAAUAUUUAUUUCACUGUAACAACUUACUGUUAAAUAGAACUGUAAAGUGAUAAUUGUUGUAACCCGCGUGAUGGCAAAGUGCAGAUAACAUGAUAAUAAAAUGCUAAUUUGUUUUAGCCUGUGAAUUGCAGGAAAUAUAUAUAUAUAUAUAUAUAUAGAGUUAGACUGGGCUACUAUUAGUAGCAAAAUCCUAUUGUUGCUACCAAUUUUUUAGCCUUUGGAUCAACUUUUUUCAUUAUUUCUAACCAUUGGAUUAAAUACUAUAAUCCAGUGGGGACCACUCAACCCUAGGGGGACCAUUCAACUCUAACCAACUAAUAUUAUCCUGACCCUAUAAUUUUUCAUCCAAGGGUUAAAAACUUGGUAGCAAAAAGAAUGUUUUACUAUUAAUAGUAUUCAAGUCUAAUUCUAUAUAUAUAUAUAUAUAUAUAUAUAUAUAUAUAUAUAUAUAUANCUUUCCUUGUUACAGACGAAAUUCUAUUUUUUUUUUUUCUUUCAAAGUUUAUUCCUCCAUGCUUGCUGAAUUAUCCGUUGUUUUUUUGUUUAGUCAAACUAAUAAAUAGCUACUUUUGUUGCAUUUUACCUUGCUGCCCUAUAAAUUUUUUUUUCUUGUGCUUGUAGAAAUCAUAUUGUUUUUUUCUUAAUCGUCCAUGUAGUGGCUCAAAUGAGCAUUGCAAUAUGGAAUAGAAGCUAGUGUUCAUUCAGACUUCAUGUUUUCUAUUCAGAUCGCACGGCUUAUAUUCCUUAAAUUGAUUUCAUCAACUUUUCUCUUGAAUGUUCUUCUUUGACCAUCUUUUGUGAUUAAAGGUUCUUGAGACAGCUGAUGAUUUGGGAGAGGUUACUGAAACUGUUGAUUAUUAUGUACAUGGAAGUACAAUUGCUGCAGGUAACUUAUUUGGAAGGUGAGCAUUUCAUCUUUUAUUCUCCUUAUGGAAACUUGCAAUAUGUGAUUUUUGAUGAUUUUCUUUUCUAUUCCUUAAUCAUAUCAUAUUCAUUAUAAGCAAAUAAGCAUAGACGUGAAAAACAGAAUACGGAAGUCAUGCUUGAAACUGGUUUCUUUCCUCUUCUUAAAUAUGCAUCUGGUAUAAUCCUAUGUUUUAGUAUAAAGUUAGUGAGAAAAAUGUCAUCCCUGAAAUGGUUUCUUUUCUGUUCUUUAAUAUGUAUGCAUUUCAGCAUCUGUAAACUGACCAAAGAAGGAUAAAAGUUAGGGACAUCUUUUUACUGGUAGACUCUAAUAAUUGAAAUAGUGAGCUGUAUAUCUACAGUUUAUCUAUGCAUUCUCAACUUCUCUGCAUUAAUAAUAAUUGUAUGCAGGAGACGAGUUAUUCAGAUAUACGCAAAGGGUGCACGUAUACUAGAUGGUUCUUACAUGACCCAGGAAUUGAAUUUUGUUGCACAUAAUUCUGAGCAAACGUCUAGCGAAUUGCCGACAGUGGCGUCUGUUUCUAUAGCUGAUCCUUAUGUGUUAUUGAAAAUGACUGAUGGAAGCAUUCAAUUGCUCCUUGGAGGUAUUUUAUCUCUAUUCUGAUCCCCUAUCGAUGAAAUACCCUUUCUUGAAAGCUUGAUAAUAAUGGUUCGCCUAUUUGCCUAUUGAACAUUUUAUUUGUUUUUCAAUUCAAAGGAAUAGAUUUUACUUUAUUGAUGUAUGGCACUUGUUUACUAUUCAAUUGUUGAUUUUUACCAAUUAGAGUGGUAAGAUGUAACUCUCUUAUUUAUAUAUGAUCACAUGCAUUGGCUUCUUUUCUUGUUUUUCCAUUUGUUUUUCAUUUCUGAAGUUCCAAUUUACCUCUAAUAUAUGGUUACGUGUUACUGUUCCUGUUUUUCUUUGUCCAGAUCCUGCCGCUUGCACUGUUUCUCUUAAUGCCCCUGCUAUAUUUUCAAGCUCAACAGAACCAAUAUCUGCAUGUACACUUUAUCAUGAUAAAGGACCGGAACCGUGGCUUCGAAAGACGAGCACUGAUGCAUGGCUUUCUACUGGUGUUGCCGAGCCAAUUGAUGGGAAUGAUGGAUCAUAUCAUGACCACGGUGACAUAUAUUGUUUAGUUUGUUAUGAAAAUGGCAAACUUGAAAUUUUCGAUGUGCCUAGCUUUAAAAGUGUUUACUCUGUGGACAACUUUGUUUCUGGAAAGACUUAUCUGGCGGAUACAUAUACUAAAGACCCCAACAAAUAUCCUGAUACUAAAGGCUAUCUAAAUAAGGAACCAGUGCAGAAUAUGAGAGUGGUCGAGCUGGCUAUGCAAAGGUGGUCUGGCCGAUACAGUCGUCCUUUUCUUUUUGGAAUGCUGAGUGAUGGGACAAUUCUUUGCUACCAUGCUUACUUUUACGAGGGUACAGAAAAUGCUGUAAAAGGUGGAGAUCCAGUUUCCCCUCGUGGUUCUGCGGACACAAGUAGUAUGAGCAUUUCAAGGCUGAGAAAUUUGAGAUUUCUUCGUGUUUCUAUUGAUAUCACUACACGAGAAGAAAUGUUGAAUGCUGUGAGUAGGCCAAGAAUUACUGUAUUUAAUAAUGUGGGAGGCUAUCAAGGUUUGUUUCUUAGUGGUUCAAGGCCAGCAUGGCUCAUGGUCUGCAGAGAACGGAUUCGGGUACAUCCGCAGGUGUGAAAUCACUCUUUUUUUUUCCUUUUAUUUAUUAGCUGAGGUAUGAUAUGCAAAGAAGAGUGUUUGUAUUUAGUUUUUCAUUCACAAAUUUAAUGCACUCUUUAAGUACGUGUGCCUAUGCUUAAAAUUUCUGAAUUUUCCUUCAUGGUAAUAUAGCCAUAUAGGUGAAAGGCCAGAUAAAAAGGACAUUUGGAGAUAAUUACUUACAAAAAAGCUUAUUUUCCUUCAAACAGAUGAUAUCUUGAUAAUUUAUGAAGUCACUAUAUGACAUGAAAAUUUUGCAAUGAUAUCUAAAAUUUGGGGGAGUAGUUUUACUAUUCUCUCAUGAAUGAGAACAAGAAUGUUUAGUACAGAACCUUAUCCGCCACAAUCAAUUAGAAUAUUUCAUUGAGAAACAGGAUUUGUGUGACGCCCCACUUCCCAGGCGGCCUUCCAUCUUAGGAUUACUCUAGUCGUAGCACACUUAACUCUCUUAACUUCUUCUACCUAGCCAGCACCCAAAAUGCUAUAGUCUGGGUUUAGAAAUUUACAACUACUUGACAAUAUGAGAUUUAUCUCACUAGACUUAGUCGACUCGCCCCAGUUCCUGGGGGGUUCACCUAUGCUAGAACUACUCCAGUUCUAGCACACGCUUAACUUUCUUAACCUCUUGGGUAUAAGACGUAUAACCACUGCCGGACAUGCUAUAGUCGGGUCAAGAGCUUUUAGCCCUAUUAUAUCUUAUAUAUAGGACUACUUGGGGUCUCACAUUUUCUCCCUUUUAAGCCCUGACAUCCUCGUCAGGCUCAGACUCACAAGUAUCAGAUGAUGUGAGACUCGUCUCGUUAGCUUUAACCGGCCUUGUGGGGGAGCCGUGCUCCACCCACAACAGUCAACAGCAUGAGAGCCUCGCUCUCCCCGCCGUAUAAUUCUGACUCAGCCGAGACUAAUCUCACAUUUCUGGCUGAUAAUUGGCUCUGAUACCAACUGUGACAUCUUACUUCCCAGGGGGUUAUUCAUUCUAGGACUACUUCAGUCCUAGCAUGCUUAACUCUCUUAACCUUUUGGGUCUAACCACCACUCAAAAUGCUAUAGCCGGAUUAAGAUUUUUAGCUCUAUUAUAUCUUAUAUAUAGAGCUAUCUGGGGUUUCACAUCUCCCUCCCCCGCUUUAAGCCUAGACAUUCACGUCAGGCUCAGACUCACAAGUAUCAGGCGAUGUGAGACUCGUCUCCUUAGCCUUAACCGACCUUGUGGGGGAGCUGCGCUCUACCCAUAACAAUCAUCAGUAUGAGUCUCGCUCUCCCCGCUGUAUAUUCUGGUUAAGCCGAGACUCAUCUCACAUUUUCGGUUGGUAAUCGGCUCUGAUACCAACUGUGACACCCCACUUCCCAGGGGUCACCUAUCCUAGGACUAUAGCGCUAGCAUGUUUAACUCUCUUAAUUUCUUGGGUCUAGCCACCGCCCAAAAUGGUAUAGCUGGGUUAAGAGUUUUAGCCCUAUUAUAUAUUAUAUAUAGGACUACUUGAGGUCUCACAUUCUUCUUCCUUUUAAGCCCUGCUGUCUUUGUAAGGCUUAGACUCACAAGUAUUAGGCGAUGUGAGACUCGUCUAGUUAGCCUUAACCGACUUUGUGGGGGAACCGCGCUCCACCCAUAACCGUCAAUAGCAUGAGAGUUUCGCUUUCCCCGCUGUAUAAUUCUGGCUCAGUCGAGACUCAUUUUACUCUUCCGGUUGGUAAUUGGCUCUGAUACCAACUGUGACACCCCACUUCCUAGGAGGUCAUCCAUCCUAGGACUACUCUACUCCUAGUACGCUUAACUCUCUUAGCCUUUUGGGCUUAGCCACCACCUAAAAUACUAUAGCCUGGUUUAGAAACUAACAACCACCUAGCAAUAUGAGACUCAUCUCAUUAGCCUUAGCCGACCCGCCCCACUUCUCAGGGAGGUCACCCAUCCUCGAACUACUCCAGUUUUAGCAUGCUUAACCUUCUUAACCUCUUAGAUAUAACUACCGCCCAACAUGCUAUAGCCGGGUCAAGAGUUUUUAGUCCUAUUAUAUUUUAUAUAUAGAACUACCUGAAGUCUCACAAUUUGAUUGUUUUAUUAGUCAACAGUGCAAAUUUAUCCUACUAGUAUAAUGCGUGGUCAGCUACGGAAGUUGAUCAUUGUUUUGGAAAUUUUCUGGAGCAUUGUUGUUACGGGUGUUAUUCAGACAUAAGAUUAUAAGACUUUAUAUGAUCCAUGGAAGUUUUGAGAUUAUGAUAAGGCAUGAAAUGGGUUAUCUUCUGAGUCUCUUUUGUAUCAACUAUUAUUAUGGAACUAAUAGCUCAUUUGUUCUGGCGGCUCGCCUUGAGUUUUUGUGUAGUGGCCAACUGCAUUGUGCUUUUCUUACCAUUGUUGCUUGCAUGAAGCUUAUUUUUUCCCCCUGAGCCAACCUUUUUCUGUGAAAAGUUAUAUUUAGCUCCUUCCGGAUUACGUCUAACUUACGCUUAAAUUCAGGCUGAGUUUUGGACAAAACUUUCUUAUCUCAGUUACAUCUUCCCGAUUUGCCUGAAAAUCAUCUUAUAUGUAUUGUUUGUUUCAAUUUUCUAUAUCUGCCAUUGCUGAAAUUUGUAAUUUGGCUUUAAAAUUACUGCUACUUUACUAUUUCAUACUUUGACAUCCGACAUAGCUGGUUUAAUUAUUAAAAUUAUUAACAUUUCUAUAUUUCAAUUUUAUGCAGCUAUGCGAUGGUUCCAUAGCAGCUUUUGCUGUUCUUCACAAUGUAAAUUGCAAUCAUGGUCUUAUAUAUGUUACAUCACAGGUGAUUAUUCAUGUGAAAUCCUCUGUUAGCUUCAUUAAAUGGCAUUUUCAUCUUGAAAUUUAAGUGAUUGGGAACUGAAUAAAAAUUUGAACAUCUCGGUGUAGGGUUACCUAAAAAUUUGUCAGCUGCCGUCGUCAUUUAACUAUGACAACCACUGGCCAGUUCAAAAGGUCCAAUCAGCUCCUUUAAUGCAUUUUAUUAAAUUAUCUGCAGUGAAAUUGAUGGUUUAAAAGACCUUUAUGGAAUUCUCUCCUUGGCAGAUUCCUUUGCUGGGCACUCCACAUCAAGUCACCUAUUAUGCCGAAAAGAAUCUAUAUCCACUUAUUUUAUCUGUUCCUGUAAGUGAUAUGCAUAUCUUAUGAUAUAAAUAUUAAUUCUCUAUUGAUUAAAGCAUCAUGAUGCCUGCCAACAAUGAAGAUAGCUCCAAACUCUUAACAUGCAUUUUGUUUGUAACAUCAAAUAGAGUUACUCAUAGGUAUAAAGUUUAUUUUCAACAUCAAGGAUUCAAGAUAUCAUCAACAGCAAAUUAUCAGAUUAAUACUUUAAAAUGACAAUAAAGUAGCAUUCUAGUAUUUCUGAAUUUAGAUUAAAAUGAAUAAUAAAUAUGAAGAUUCUGUGUUUCUUUUGCAAUGAGGAUUGAAACUGGAACAUCUUGGAAUUUGACUGGGAACAUCCAAUUUUUUUACUAAGUUGCCUCACAACUGGCAUAGGAAUUGGCAUGCCAUAUAUAUUUUUUUGUUUUUGAGUUAUGAAAUUGAAUAUCAUCGUUGUUUUAUAUAAAUGUGCUCGUUGAUGUUCACUCUUUUUAUUCAAUUUUUCUUUUACAGGUUAUCCGUCCUUUAAAUCAGGUCCUUUCAUCUCUGUUGGAUCAAGAAAUGAGCCAGCAGAUAGAUAACGACAACUUCAAUUCUGAUGAUCUGCAAAAGACUUAUAGUGUUGAUGAAUUUGAGGUCCGAAUAUUGGAGCCAGAUAAAUCUGGUCACUGGGAUACUAAGGCUACUGUUCCAAUGCAGACCUCUGAAAAUGCCCUUACAGUCCGCAUUGUUACGUUAUUUGUAAGUGUAACAUAUGAGCUCUUCCCUAAAGGGACAUUUUCUUUUCCCUUGUAAUGCAUCUUUUAAUUUUGUACAUUGUGUUUUGUUAUUUAGUUUGGUGUCAUAUUGCCAUAUAAAUGCAGAAUACAACAACAAAAGAGAAUGAAUCUCUCAUGGCCAUUGGCACUGCUUAUGUGCAAGGAGAGGAUGUAGCUGCUCGUGGACGAGUGCUUCUGUUUUCUUUUGCCAAAACUAAUGAGAGCUCCCAAAAUCUGGUAAAAAAAAAAAAACAGAAAUGCAUUUUGCGACUGGUUGUCGAAUUUUCUGUUCUCUUUGUUUGCUGUGCUUCACACCAGUGGCAGUCAUUUGUUUUGUUUUCCUUUAUGACGUGAAUCGUCAGAUUUCAGAAGUCUACUCUAAGGAGCUGAAGGGUGCCGUCUCAAAUUUAGCAUCUCUUCAGGGUCACUUGCUUAUAGCUUCUGGUCCAAAAAUCACCUUGCAUAAAUGGACUGGUUCUGAGUUGAAUGGUGUUGCUUUCUAUGAUGCUCCACUGCAUGUUGUGAGCUUGAACAUUGUGAGUGCAUUUCUUUCAAUGUUUGACUAUAUAAUCUACAUUUGAAUACAUGUUUGACACAUAUACAUCUGAAGUUCUUUUCCUCUAAGAAUGCAAUAAUUAUUGUUACAGGUCAAGAAUUUCAUCUUGUUUGGCGACGUUCAUAAAAGCAUAUAUUUCCUUAAUUGGAAGGAGCAAGGUGCUCAACUAAGCUUGCUAGCAAAAGAUUUUGGACCUUUAAAUUGCUAUGCAACUGAGUUCUUGAUUGAUGGUAGCACAUUGAGCCUUGUCGUAUCGGAUGAUCAAAAGAACAUUCAGGUAAUUUCUGCUUAUGCUUUAUGCACUAUUAUUGUGUUGGAUGGAAACCAUGAUGCUUGUCAGUUUAUUUAGCCGUUGUUUUGUCUAGUUGUUCAAACACUUAUUAGUUGCCCACUAUUGACAAGAUAAAACUCGAUAGAAAUGACAAUAUUUAUGCAAAAAAUAAAGGUCCUGUAUUAACAUCUACUUCUAGAUUAUUUUCUUGUCCUGGAAGCUCGCUCUGAGGUCUCAUUUCUUUAGAGUUUUAAACUUCUAUCUCAAUGAAGUCAAAAUAGGAUUUUGCACGCUCAAAAGGUCCCCCUUUUUUGCUGAUUUUGUAUAUGUAAAUUUUGCUUAAUAUAGUUCUCGUGGCUAAUGAAGUCUUUUUAGAAUUUUCUGCUAAUUAAGUCUCUUUCAAGAAUGGCCGAAGUUUUGUAUUUUUAUACUGCAGUGUUGAAUAUUAUGAGAAAGGUUGGAUAACUUUUAGAGUACUAUCCGCACAACUAGAUUGUCCAGGAGCAGUAGAGGGUGAGUAGGUGACACUCAUAUGUUGCUACAAGUGGUGGAAUAAUUUGAUCUAGUAUUGGUGAUUUGAUGUAUAUCUCAACUGGAAAGAAACUGUCACUGUUUAUUUGCUUUAGCAUGAAACUGAAUCUAUUUUAUUCAUAUAUGCCAUACAUAUACACCCCUAUCUACACAAACUGAGAGUCAACAUGACAUGACUCCGACAAGGCGACUAGUCAACGGUGAAAAAAAACUAGGACAUGAACAUGACAUAGCUAGUAAAUAUGUGAGGGCAUUCUCAUUAAUUCUGCAAAGUAAUAACAUUCUCUUUAUUGUUUCCUCACAUAUAAAAACAAUUGAUUUUUUGUUUUUUGGUAGAUAUAUAAAACUAGAUAACAAUUAUAUUAAUUUAGAAUGUAAACUAAAACAUACCUUUUGACUUGAAGAAUUAGCUCUGCAAUAUAAGGAAAGUAAGAUUUAUACCAGCCUUCACUUUAAACACUGUACAAUGAAACAGAAAGGUUAAUGCCUUAUAUUCUCUUAAGACUUUUGCAUAGAAAAUGCAAUUAGGGACUUCCAAUUUGCAUACUAUGUGCAUGAUCAUGAGGAGCGCAAAACAGGCAAGUGAUGGGCGUGAAGAAUAACAGGAUAUAGAACAUGGAGAGGGCAUGUGCCUGUGGAUGUUCGCCUAGGAAUUGUGUCCAACACAGGCACGAUACGGGUGCGGCAACAUUAUAGAAGUUUCCAUGUUACCUAUCUGAGAGUACACUCUAGUAGGUUUCGCUAUUAUUUCCUCCAAGAUAAUUAAAGUCACAUUGAGAAAUGCGAAUACUCUUCCUUGAUUAAAUAAUUGUCUCUCCAUUUGGACUACUAAUGUUGGACUGCGGUUAGAGUUUAAUCCAUGCUAAAAGCCUAAAAGAGACUGCCUCAAUACCAUACUGAGAUUUGCUUUGUUGAUUUCGUAACUCUUCAGCAGCAAUCAAAUUGUGAUCAAACUUCAGGGACUAAAUUGUUGAAAUUAAACUUCAAGGAUAAACUGAAAUGAAAUCGAGCCUUAGGGACUAAAUUGUUAUGAUAAAAAAUCGUAGGCUUUGUUUGGUUUGGGAAUAGACCAGGGACAAUGAAAGUUAUCCUCGCUAUUCCGCCAAACAGUGCUAAUCCGGGAACAACUAUUCCACAUUUUUAGAGGAAUAGGGCUAUUUUCAUGCUAUAGUAAACUAAUUAAAGGUAAUUAAAGUAAUAUAAAAGUAUGGUUAUAUUAUUUAUAAUAAAAUAAUAAUAAUAAUAAUAAUAAUUAUUAGUACUAGUACUAAAACAACUAUUAGUGCUACUAUUAUAUUAUAUGAUAUUAUAUUAUCUUUAUUACUUUUAUAAAUUUAUAUUAUAUGUUAUCCUAAAUAUACCAUGUAAUAUAAAGUAUUAUAUAAGGUAAUAAAUAUAUUAAAUAUAUAAUGUUCUAAAAUAUGUUGUCUUUAAUCAUAUAUAUGUAUAUAUUAUAUUUGAAGUAUUUUUAUAUAUAAUUAUUGAAGUGCAUUAUAUAAUAAUAUUGAAGUAUUUUAUAUAAUAAUAUGAUUAUAAUAGCAUUAUAUGCAAUAUUUUAAUUAUAAUAUAUUUUAUAAAAUAUAUUAUUUUAUAUGCAUUAAUGUGCAUAUAUUAAAUAUUCUAUAUUUGGGAGAUAUAGAUAAAGGCAAUCUUGAUAUUUAAAAAAUUUUAAUCUACCUUUUGUACUAUUCUUUAUUAUUCCUAAUAAAAUUGUCAAACGGGAUUUUGGUUAUCCUAGGGAAUAAGAAAAUAUCAAACCAAAUAAAAGAAAUUUCUUUUACUCCUCUGUAUCCUAGAAUAGUAGGUUAUCCCAGGAAUAAAUAUUUUUAUUCCUUCAAACAUUGUUCCGUUACCACACGCAGCCUUAAGGAUUGGAAUCUGGGUCAAAUUUCAGGGAUGAAUGUUGUGAUUAACCUAUGGAAUACUGAUGCAGAUCUUCUAUUAUGCACCAAAAAUGUUGGAGAGCUGGAAAGGGCAGAAGCUUUUGUCAAGGGCAGAGUUUCAUGCCGGGGCCCUUGUAUCGAAGUUCUUGCGGUUACAGAUGCUUCCCACUUCCUCUGAUCGAUCAGGUGCAACUGUGCCUGGCUCCGAAAAGACCAACCGUUUUGCUCUUCUGUUUAGCACGCUGGACGGUAGCAUCGGCUGCAUCGCACCGCUUGAGGAGCUCACAUUCCGUCGGCUUCAGACUCUGCAAAGGAAACUAGUUGAUGCUGUUCCUCAUGUUUGCGGCCUGAAUCCUAGAUCAUUCCGGCAGUUCCAUUCUAACGGGAAAGCACAUCGCCCUGGUCCCGAUCAUAUGGUGGACUUUGAGCUUCUUUCUCAGUAAGUGAAUGUUCUAGUUCUCCUUGAACCCUAAUGGGUAAUUUUGUAUCACUGCAUUGUUUUGAGGAUAAAAUGUAUGGAUAGUCCCUACACUAUCCUGAUAUUGCGACUUAGUCCCCGAGCAAAGGUUUUCACACUUUUGGUCCGUGAACUUUCUCAUAUAUUUGCAACUCCAUCCUAGCUGCUAAAAAUUUUUCAACACAUCACUUUUUGCUAUUAAUUUUCCUUUUCAACCCUUUUUCAAGUAUUUAUAAUAUUAAGACAUCGUUUUAAAGGGGAGGUGGUAAAAUGAUCAUUUUACAAGAAAAACUCUGGAUUUUUGUCUUUUGACGGUCAGUGAUGUAAGUGAAAAAUUCGUGGACUGAGCUGCGAUCAGGAUUUUAUGAUGACUAUCAAUUCAUUUUACACUUAAUGGACGGUAGUUUCGUUACUCUUUUAAAAUUUUGUUCGAAAAGAUGCUUUACAUUGAGUGCAGUAAAAUACUGCAAAACCAUACCAUAAGAAAACAUGGCUUCUAAGUUGACCAUGAUACUUGAAAUAGAGAGGUUUCUUGGUCAGGGCUUUGCUUUUUUCUGUUUAAUACUUCAAGAAAUAUGGUUAUUUCUUAGCCAUCUUAACUGUUCCGAAAAAAGAACUAGAAAUAAAGGGAAAUCAGUAAUGAUAAUCUGAAAAAGAAAAGAGUUAACACAACUAUUUAGAAAUUGUUACUGAGAAGACACCUUAAUUUGGACUUCAGUACCUGGACUUCACGACUAUUGCCACCAUCUCAUCACUAUCUGCUUUCGUUUAUUUUUUUUUAUUUAUAUUUUCUCUUUUGCAGUUAUGAGAUGCUGCCAUUGGAGGAACAGCUGGAAAUUGCUCACCAAAUCGGAACGACCCGGUCGCAGAUCCUUUCCAAUUUUAAUGAUCUCUCACUGGGAACGAGUUUUCUGUGAGCAUCUCUUGCAACUGAAAUGUUCUAGAGGAUUAUACAACCUUCCUGUAACGUUUGAGGUCAAACACACUGUCAACAUAGGAGCCGAUUCUGUUUGGUCCAUGGUGCCCCCAACCUUUUGUUCUACAAAGCGAAUGCUCUGUUUUUUGAUCCUUGCGUACGGCAUCAAGUAGUCGAAACAGUUCUUUAGGGGUUUGCACUGACUUGGGCUGCCUGUAACUUAUUACAUUGUCAAUUGAAAACCUCUGUAUAGUUAAUCCUAACCUUAAUUCCUUGCUACUCUCUCUCUAGUUUAUGAUGUUUUUAUGUGCUUAUAUCUUGCAAUUUGAACCAGGAGAAGUGAACUACCUUAAUCGAUUUUGGGUAUAUCUCAUUUAUUUAUAUGCUCUUUUCGGUUUCUUAGUUAUGGACAGGUUCUGACUCGAUCGACAAAAGCUUUAGUUCCUGCCCCUUCUUGGUGCUACCAAGAAAAGGGACAAAAGGUUGAGAAGCUACUAGGAGGGAUGGCUUUUGCCGUAGACCCAGUGAAAUGUUCUUCUUAAAUUAAGCCACAGGUGCGUGCGAUCUCUUUACUCGUGCUCUGUGUUUGUGCAAACACUUCACUUUGGUGUCAUCAUUCAAGCAUGCUUUACUAUCUUUUUGCCCUCUGUCGCUCAUUUGUUUUAUCCACCUGUUGUAGCAUAUAUUGGAAUAGUAACUUGUCCCUUGGAUGUACAAGUGUCAUGGAGCUGAAAAGAGCAAUACUACUUGUAUAUCCAAAUCGUGGUGUAUAUUUUAUACCCCACUUAUUCAGUAGAUGGAGUGUUUUUACUGACCACUUGAUAUGAUUAAUGAAUAACUCUCCCAUUCGUUGGAUGGAAUGUAAUUUGUACAUCCCAAUUAGAGUGUAUAAAUAGCUUUUUUCUAAAUGUAGUAAGGGUAAAUUUUAUUUUACCCCGUGGUUUAGUCCAUUUUAACUUUACCAUCUUACGGUUCAAAAUAUUGCCCUUAACUAUCAUGUAGUUUUAUAUUUGUUUCAUUGCAAGUGGUUUUAUAUUUGUUUCAUUGCAAGGGUCUAUAUUUAAAUAGGAUAGCGAAGUGAUAUAUAUAUAUAUAUAUAGAGAGAGAGAGAGCUACUAUGCUAUUGGAAGCAUAGAGCAUUUGAUACUUCCGAUAUUUUGAUUAUUGGAUUAAAAAUUAUAUGGUUGGGAUGAUUACGGUCCCCCCAGGGUUGUUAGUACCCCUAGGGUGUAUAUAUAUAUAUAUAUAGAGAGAGAGAGAGCUACUAUGCUAUUGGAAGCAUAGAGCAUUUGAUACUUCCGAUAUUUUGAUUAUUGGAUUAAAAAUUAUAUGGUUGGGAUGAUUACGGUCCCCCCAGGGUUGUUAGUACCCCUAUAUAUAUAUAUAUAUAUAUAUAUAUAUAUAUAGUUCGGCUGGAAUACUAUCGAUAGCACAAAGCAUUUUGUGUUAUCAAGUUUUCUGCUAUUAGAUUUAUUUUUUUUAUUAUUUUCAUCCGUUUGAUUAUACUAUUCAACCAACCAACCACCCACUCAACCCUAGGAGGUCUAUAUCAUUCUAACAACGCAUCUUUUAAUCCAGGGGUAGAAAACUUAAUAGCACCAAAUUAUUUUUUUUUUUCAAUCAGUAUUCGGCAUCCUAGAUUCUCUCUUUGUCUCGUGGGCUCGGAGAUGUGUCUCUGUGUCUGUAUAUAUAUAUAUAUAUAUAUAUAUAUAUAUAUAUAUAUAGAGAGAGAGUAGAGCUAUACUAUAUAUGCUAUCGGAAGUAUAAAGUUGUUGGUGUUUUCGAUUUUUUAGCCCUUAGAUUAAUUUUAUUGAUUAUUUCUAACCAUUGGAUUAAUAUUAUUAACUAAUGGGGACCACUCAAUCCUAAAGGGACCGCUCAACCCUAAGGGGAUUGUUAUCAUUCCAAUCGUAGAAUCUUUUAUCCAAGGGCUAAAAAAUUGGAAGCACUAACUACUUUAUGUUUUCGAUAGCAUAGUAGCUCUACACUAUAUAUAUAUAUAUAUAUAUAUAUAUAUAUAGAGAGAGAGAGAGAGAGAGAGAGAGAGAACUAGGCUGGAAUACUAUUAAUAGCACCAAUAAUUAUUGGUGCUAUUAAGUUUUUUAGCUCUUGGAUUGAGAGAUGUGUUGUUAGGAUGAUGUGGGCCUCCUAGGGUUGAGUGGGUGGUUGGUUGGUUGAAUAGUAUAAUCUAAUGGGUGAAAAUAAUAAAGAAUAUAAAUCUAAUGGUGGAAAACUUGAUAACACUAAAUGCUUUGCUGCUAUUGAUAGUAUUCCAGCUGGACUCUCUCUCUCUUUAUAUAUAUAUAUAUAUAUAUCUAUGUCUGUAUGUGCUCUCAGGAGCACGGAGGCCUCCGUGCUCCUGAGAGCACAGCAGCCCUGCUAUAUAUAUAUAUAUAUAUAGCAGGGCUGCUGUGCUCUCAGGAGCACGGAGGCCUCCGUGCUCCUGAGAGCAUAUAUAUAUAUAUAUAUAUAUAUAUAUAUAUAUCACUUCGCUAUCCUAUUUAAAUAUAGACCCUUGCAAUGAAACAAAUAUAAAACCACUUGCAAUGAAACAAAUAUAAAACUACAUGAUAGUUAAGGGCAAUAUUUUGAACCGUAAGAUGGUAAAGUUAAAAUGGACUAAACCACGGGGUAAAAUAAAAUUUACCCUUACUACAUUUAGAAAAAAGCUAUUUAUACACUCUAAUUGGGAUGUACAAAUUACAUUCCAUCCAACGAAUGGGAGAGUUAUUCAUUAAUCAUAUCAAGUGGUCAGUAAAAACACUCCAUCUACUGAAUAAGUGGGGUAUAAAAUAUACACCACGAUUUGGAUAUACAAGUAGUAUUGCUCUUUUCAGCUCCAUGACACUUGUACAUCCAAGGGACAAGUUACUAUUCCAAUAUAUGCUACAACAGGUGGAUAAAACAAAUGAGCGACAGAGGGCAAAAAGAUAGUAAAGCAUGCUUGAAUGAUGACACCAAAGUGAAGUGUUUGCACAAACACAGAGCACGAGUAAAGAGAUCGCACGCACCUGUGGCUUAAUUUAAGAAGAACAUUUCACUGGGUCUACGGCAAAAGCCAUCCCUCCUAGUAGCUUCUCAACCUUUUGUCCCUUUUCUUGGUAGCACCAAGAAGGGGCAGGAACUAAAGCUUUUGUCGAUCGAGUCAGAACCUGUCCAUAACUAAGAAACCGAAAAGAGCAUAUAAAUAAAUGAGAUAUACCCAAAAUCGAUUAAGGUAGUUCACUUCUCCUGGUUCAAAUUGCAAGAUAUAAGCACAUAAAAACAUCAUAAACUAGAGAGAGAGUAGCAAGGAAUUAAGGUUAGGAUUAACUAUACAGAGGUUUUCAAUUGACAAUGUAAUAAGUUACAGGCAGCCCAAGUCAGUGCAAACCCCUAAAGAACUGUUUCGACUACUUGAUGCCGUACGCAAGGAUCAAAAAACAGAGCAUUCGCUUUGUAGAACAAAAGGUUGGGGGCACCAUGGACCAAACAGAAUCGGCUCCUAUGUUGACAGUGUGUUUGACCUCAAACGUUACAGGAAGGUUGUAUAAUCCUCUAGAACAUUUCAGUUGCAAGAGAUGCUCACAGAAAACUCGUUCCCAGUGAGAGAUCAUUAAAAUUGGAAAGGAUCUGCGACCGGGUCGUUCCGAUUUGGUGAGCAAUUUCCAGCUGUUCCUCCAAUGGCAGCAUCUCAUAACUGCAAAAGAGAAAAUAUAAAUAAAAAAAAAUAAACGAAAGCAGAUAGUGAUGAGAUGGUGGCAAUAGUCGUGAAGUCCAGGUACUGAAGUCCAAAUUAAGGUGUCUUCUCAGUAACAAUUUCUAAAUAGUUGUGUUAACUCUUUUCUUUUUCAGAUUAUCAUUACUGAUUUCCCUUUAUUUCUAGUUCUUUUUUCGGAACAGUUAAGAUGGCUAAGAAAUAACCAUAUUUCUUGAAGUAUUAAACAGAAAAAAGCAAAGCCCUGACCAAGAAACCUCUCUAUUUCAAGUAUCAUGGUCAACUUAGAAGCCAUGUUUUCUUAUGGUAUGGUUUUGCAGUAUUUUACUGCACUCAAUGUAAAGCAUCUUUUCGAACAAAAUUUUAAAAGAGUAACGAAACUACCGUCCAUUAAGUGUAAAAUGAAUUGAUAGUCAUCAUAAAAUCCUGAUCGCAGCUCAGUCCACGAAUUUUUCACUUACAUCACUGACCGUCAAAAGACAAAAAUCCAGAGUUUUUCUUGUAAAAUGAUCAUUUUACCACCUCCCCUUUAAAACGAUGUCUUAAUAUUAUAAAUACUUGAAAAAGGGUUGAAAAGGAAAAUUAAUAGCAAAAAGUGAUGUGUUGAAAAAUUUUUAGCAGCUAGGAUGGAGUUGCAAAUAUAUGAGAAAGUUCACGGACCAAAAGUGUGAAAACCUUUGCUCGGGGACUAAGUCGCAAUAUCAGGAUAGUGUAGGGACUAUCCAUACAUUUUAUCCUCAAAACAAUGCAGUGAUACAAAAUUACCCAUUAGGGUUCAAGGAGAACUAGAACAUUCACUUACUGAGAAAGAAGCUCAAAGUCCACCAUAUGAUCGGGACCAGGGCGAUGUGCUUUCCCGUUAGAAUGGAACUGCCGGAAUGAUCUAGGAUUCAGGCCGCAAACAUGAGGAACAGCAUCAACUAGUUUCCUUUGCAGAGUCUGAAGCCGACGGAAUGUGAGCUCCUCAAGCGGUGCGAUGCAGCCGAUGCUACCGUCCAGCGUGCUAAACAGAAGAGCAAAACGGUUGGUCUUUUCGGAGCCAGGCACAGUUGCACCUGAUCGAUCAGAGGAAGUGGGAAGCAUCUGUAACCGCAAGAACUUCGAUACAAGGGCCCCGGCAUGAAACUCUGCCCUUGACAAAAGCUUCUGCCCUUUCCAGCUCUCCAACAUUUUUGGUGCAUAAUAGAAGAUCUGCAUCAGUAUUCCAUAGGUUAAUCACAACAUUCAUCCCUGAAAUUUGACCCAGAUUCCAAUCCUUAAGGCUGCGUGUGGUAACGGAACAAUGUUUGAAGGAAUAAAAAUAUUUAUUCCUGGGAUAACCUACUAUUCUAGGAUACAGAGGAGUAAAAGAAAUUUCUUUUAUUUGGUUUGAUAUUUUCUUAUUCCCUAGGAUAACCAAAAUCCCGUUUGACAAUUUUAUUAGGAAUAAUAAAGAAUAGUACAAAAGGUAGAUUAAAAUUUUUUAAAUAUCAAGAUUGCCUUUAUCUAUAUCUCCCAAAUAUAGAAUAUUUAAUAUAUGCACAUUAAUGCAUAUAAAAUAAUAUAUUUUAUAAAAUAUAUUAUAAUUAAAAUAUUGCAUAUAAUGCUAUUAUAAUCAUAUUAUUAUAUAAAAUACUUCAAUAUUAUUAUAUAAUGCACUUCAAUAAUUAUAUAUAAAAAUACUUCAAAUAUAAUAUAUACAUAUAUAUGAUUAAAGACAACAUAUUUUAGAACAUUAUAUAUUUAAUAUAUUUAUUACCUUAUAUAAUACUUUAUAUUACAUGGUAUAUUUAGGAUAACAUAUAAUAUAAAUUUAUAAAAGUAAUAAAGAUAAUAUAAUAUCAUAUAAUAUAAUAGUAGCACUAAUAGUUGUUUUAGUACUAGUACUAAUAAUUAUUAUUAUUAUUAUUAUUAUUUUAUUAUAAAUAAUAUAACCAUACUUUUAUAUUACUUUAAUUACCUUUAAUUAGUUUACUAUAGCAUGAAAAUAGCCCUAUUCCUCUAAAAAUGUGGAAUAGUUGUUCCCGGAUUAGCACUGUUUGGCGGAAUAGCGAGGAUAACUUUCAUUGUCCCUGGUCUAUUCCCAAACCAAACAAAGCCUACGAUUUUUUAUCAUAACAAUUUAGUCCCUAAGGCUCGAUUUCAUUUCAGUUUAUCCUUGAAGUUUAAUUUCAACAAUUUAGUCCCUGAAGUUUGAUCACAAUUUGAUUGCUGCUGAAGAGUUACGAAAUCAACAAAGCAAAUCUCAGUAUGGUAUUGAGGCAGUCUCUUUUAGGCUUUUAGCAUGGAUUAAACUCUAACCGCAGUCCAACAUUAGUAGUCCAAAUGGAGAGACAAUUAUUUAAUCAAGGAAGAGUAUUCGCAUUUCUCAAUGUGACUUUAAUUAUCUUGGAGGAAAUAAUAGCGAAACCUACUAGAGUGUACUCUCAGAUAGGUAACAUGGAAACUUCUAUAAUGUUGCCGCACCCGUAUCGUGCCUGUGUUGGACACAAUUCCUAGGCGAACAUCCACAGGCACAUGCCCUCUCCAUGUUCUAUAUCCUGUUAUUCUUCACGCCCAUCACUUGCCUGUUUUGCGCUCCUCAUGAUCAUGCACAUAGUAUGCAAAUUGGAAGUCCCUAAUUGCAUUUUCUAUGCAAAAGUCUUAAGAGAAUAUAAGGCAUUAACCUUUCUGUUUCAUUGUACAGUGUUUAAAGUGAAGGCUGGUAUAAAUCUUACUUUCCUUAUAUUGCAGAGCUAAUUCUUCAAGUCAAAAGGUAUGUUUUAGUUUACAUUCUAAAUUAAUAUAAUUGUUAUCUAGUUUUAUAUAUCUACCAAAAAACAAAAAAUCAAUUGUUUUUAUAUGUGAGGAAACAAUAAAGAGAAUGUUAUUACUUUGCAGAAUUAAUGAGAAUGCCCUCACAUAUUUACUAGCUAUGUCAUGUUCAUGUCCUAGUUUUUUUUCACCGUUGACUAGUCGCCUUGUCGGAGUCAUGUCAUGUUGACUCUCAGUUUGUGUAGAUAGGGGUGUAUAUGUAUGGCAUAUAUGAAUAAAAUAGAUUCAGUUUCAUGCUAAAGCAAAUAAACAGUGACAGUUUCUUUCCAGUUGAGAUAUACAUCAAAUCACCAAUACUAGAUCAAAUUAUUCCACCACUUGUAGCAACAUAUGAGUGUCACCUACUCACCCUCUACUGCUCCUGGACAAUCUAGUUGUGCGGAUAGUACUCUAAAAGUUAUCCAACCUUUCUCAUAAUAUUCAACACUGCAGUAUAAAAAUACAAAACUUCGGCCAUUCUUGAAAGAGACUUAAUUAGCAGAAAAUUCUAAAAAGACUUCAUUAGCCACGAGAACUAUAUUAAGCAAAAUUUACAUAUACAAAAUCAGCAAAAAAGGGGGACCUUUUGAGCGUGCAAAAUCCUAUUUUGACUUCAUUGAGAUAGAAGUUUAAAACUCUAAAGAAAUGAGACCUCAGAGCGAGCUUCCAGGACAAGAAAAUAAUCUAGAAGUAGAUGUUAAUACAGGACCUUUAUUUUUUGCAUAAAUAUUGUCAUUUCUAUCGAGUUUUAUCUUGUCAAUAGUGGGCAACUAAUAAGUGUUUGAACAACUAGACAAAACAACGGCUAAAUAAACUGACAAGCAUCAUGGUUUCCAUCCAACACAAUAAUAGUGCAUAAAGCAUAAGCAGAAAUUACCUGAAUGUUCUUUUGAUCAUCCGAUACGACAAGGCUCAAUGUGCUACCAUCAAUCAAGAACUCAGUUGCAUAGCAAUUUAAAGGUCCAAAAUCUUUUGCUAGCAAGCUUAGUUGAGCACCUUGCUCCUUCCAAUUAAGGAAAUAUAUGCUUUUAUGAACGUCGCCAAACAAGAUGAAAUUCUUGACCUGUAACAAUAAUUAUUGCAUUCUUAGAGGAAAAGAACUUCAGAUGUAUAUGUGUCAAACAUGUAUUCAAAUGUAGAUUAUAUAGUCAAACAUUGAAAGAAAUGCACUCACAAUGUUCAAGCUCACAACAUGCAGUGGAGCAUCAUAGAAAGCAACACCAUUCAACUCAGAACCAGUCCAUUUAUGCAAGGUGAUUUUUGGACCAGAAGCUAUAAGCAAGUGACCCUGAAGAGAUGCUAAAUUUGAGACGGCACCCUUCAGCUCCUUAGAGUAGACUUCUGAAAUCUGACGAUUCACGUCAUAAAGGAAAACAAAACAAAUGACUGCCACUGGUGUGAAGCACAGCAAACAAAGAGAACAGAAAAUUCGACAACCAGUCGCAAAAUGCAUUUCUGUUUUUUUUUUUUUACCAGAUUUUGGGAGCUCUCAUUAGUUUUGGCAAAAGAAAACAGAAGCACUCGUCCACGAGCAGCUACAUCCUCUCCUUGCACAUAAGCAGUGCCAAUGGCCAUGAGAGAUUCAUUCUCUUUUGUUGUUGUAUUCUGCAUUUAUAUGGCAAUAUGACACCAAACUAAAUAACAAAACACAAUGUACAAAAUUAAAAGAUGCAUUACAAGGGAAAAGAAAAUGUCCCUUUAGGGAAGAGCUCAUAUGUUACACUUACAAAUAACGUAACAAUGCGGACUGUAAGGGCAUUUUCAGAGGUCUGCAUUGGAACAGUAGCCUUAGUAUCCCAGUGACCAGAUUUAUCUGGCUCCAAUAUUCGGACCUCAAAUUCAUCAACACUAUAAGUCUUUUGCAGAUCAUCAGAAUUGAAGUUGUCGUUAUCUAUCUGCUGGCUCAUUUCUUGAUCCAACAGAGAUGAAAGGACCUGAUUUAAAGGACGGAUAACCUGUAAAAGAAAAAUUGAAUAAAAAGAGUGAACAUCAACGAGCACAUUUAUAUAAAACAACGAUGAUAUUCAAUUUCAUAACUCAAAAACAAAAAAAUAUAUAUGGCAUGCCAAUUCCUAUGCCAGUUGUGAGGCAACUUAGUAAAAA